UUUUUUUAAUACAAAUUGAUACUUUAUUUAUAUCUUCUUAGCGAUUUAAUUUCCUGUCAAUUGACGAACGAGAAGAACAUAUGACUUGAACCAAUGCUCGCAUAAACUUGCUGUAAAAAGAUAUAAUCUCACUGAAAUGCACACGCCUAGAAUGAAUAGAAUUAAAACAGGGAAAAUAUUAAGUAUAUUAGCCCUCUUUACCGAAAAUCAAAUGACAAUAAAUUUUUUGAAGUUUUGAUUUUCUAUGGUCAAUUCCACCUUUUGCAAUUUCUUCUGUUCUAACAAAAACCAAUUUCUUUGUUCAAGUAUUUUCGUUUGGGUAUUAAUAAUUCUCCACCGAAAGAGUGAACUCUUGCUCAAGGGAUCUCUAAUCAAUAGCCGGAAGGGCGCCGAGACCUGAUCGGACCUAGGCCCAAGUUUGGUCUUAAAGCCUGGGCUUGAGCCUGGCAAUUAAAUUAAAACAGUAAUUGAUUUCUUGAAUGAAUUGUCGUGUAAUUGAUUUAUGGGGGAUGACACAUCAACAUACUUGAAAAUACACUAAUCUCAGCAUCAUCCGUUAAUAACUUUUAGAUUUAUGGGCAAUCAAUAGUUAAAUUAGUUGUCAUUAAUACUAAAUAAUUUUUACUUUUUUUGUCUCUUCUAGAGGAUCUUCUAGAAAAAUGCAUCCACAAUUAAAUUUAAUACUUUACAUAAUAAAGAAAGCAUAAAUGUUAAAUUUAAGAAACUGCAUUGUAUUUCAGCUGAAGUUGACUUUAAUAUUUAGGGUAGAAAAAAAUUAAAUCCUUAAUGUGUUUAAUUUAUAUCACUUGUGUCAUUAAAAUUUUCUAGUCACCCUAACCAAUUACAUCUCAACCCACUUUUUUUUGGAUGAUUUUAUUUUUAUACUAUUAUUUUCAACAUUUUUUUUUCCUUUUAACACCAACAUUAGUGUAUGUUACGUAACAUAAUCCAUAUUUGGAUAAUUUGAAAUUUGUUUGUGUUUUAUCUCAAAAUAGAGCUUCAAUCAAUUUGUACCUCAUAAAUUCACAAUAUCUGGCAGGGCUAAUAAGACCAAACUCUGGCAUAUUAUCAAAUGUGCUUAUCCUUUUGCUUGACAUGUCAUUUUAAAAUUGUCAUUCAAUGCCAAAAAAAUCACAUCAACUGAUGGCCGACUACUUUAAUUUGAAAGCAUGCAUGCGAUCGCCACCAAUAAUUAUAACUUAAUUGUUAUAUUGAAAUUUUUUUCUUUAUAAUUUUUAAGUUUAAUACUGCUACAUGUGCGGCACAUAAGUUGGAAAAUAUAACAUAAAAUUUGAAAAAUGUGUAGUUUUCGUUCCUUUUUUUUCUUAAAAAUGGGGAAAAAGAAUGUAAUUUUGUUUAAAUUACUGUUGUGAUAACAAUUAUUAUUUUAUUGAUUAAUUGGCAGAGAAUCGUUAUGGUUUCGCAUGGUUGUUAAAACAUUGGAAAAUCCACUACAUCAUCCGAUAAUAACUUUCAGAUUUAUGGUUAAUCAAUAGUUGAGAUUUGUUAUCAUUAAUGUUAAAUAUUUUUUUAAUAUUUUUUCUCUCUCCUAGAGGAUCAUCCACAGUUAAAAUUUAAUAUUAUAAAUAGUAAACAAAGUAUAAACGUUAAAUCGAAGAAACUGCAUUGCAUUUCAGCUGAAGCUAACUUUAAUAUUUAACAGAGAAAAGUAAUUAAGUCCUUAAUGUGCUUUAUUUACCCAUAUAUAUGGCUAAUUUUUUAAGAUAAAGGGGAAGGAUGAUGCUCAAAAAUAUAAAUUAUAGAAUUAAUUGAGCUCUCAAGUAAGUUUAAAGUUCAUUAUUUUUAAUUACAUGUUUAUAAUUUAUUUUUAUUUCGUAUUAAUCUAUAGAUCUAAAUCCACUUUGGAUUCAUAUACAUAUAUAGACAUAAUGUGUAUGUUAAUCUAUAGGUCUAAAUUCACUUUAGGUCUAUAUAGGUAUUUUGACAAAUGUACUCCAAUCAUAUUGGCAAGUUCUAACUACUAUAUUGGUAUGUCAAUAUUAUCUCUAAUUGCCCUAUACAUUCAGAAAUAAUCUAGAUAUACAAAUUAACAUAAAAUAAAAAUAAUUGGUAGAAAAUAUAAAUUAUAAACAUGUAAUUGAAAACGAUAAACUUUAAAUUUACUUAAGAGAGUAAUUAAUUUCAUAGUUAAAAUCUUUAAAUUUUACCCCUCAUCUUAACUUAAGAAAAUUAAUCACUUAUUUUAUUUAACAAAGAAGAGAUUUUUUUCCCCUAUAUUUCCCAAUUAUUUCUCUCCCUCUCGCUCCCGUAAGUUAUACAACUUGAAGUGAAAUAUGAGUGGUCUGAUUCUAGCUUAAAUAAUUUAUUGUGACAUGCUAUCUAAGGACAAUACAUUACCUAGCUCUACAUAUUUUAUUUAACCUCCGGCUCACCCUGUGCAAACUUGCCUUCCCCUACAAGACAAGAUUAAUCAAUCUAUCAAGUCUCAAAUUCAAUUUGGAAUAUGACCAUCGUACGUUCUUGUUCUUCCCUCUUUACGAGUGCAUUCCCCCCAACCUCAAGCUCCCUCUCUCGUCUUCAAUGUCACUGCCUAUAUCCUUGUGUUGUUCUAGUUUGAAAUAGUGGCUUCCACAAUUUCAGGGCCCCCAAAAAUCCAGAAACAUAGUAUUCAUCACGAUGACAAAUUUUUUGGCAGGCAGGUGCUUCCUGACUUUCACACGGUAAUUCUCAAAUUCUGAUUUCACCAUAUUUUAAUUACUGAUUAGCAUAUAUUCAAGUGCUCUCCAUUAUAAUAGAAGCCGCCGCCUCACUCGUGAUUCCAAACUUUAUCUUUUUUCCUUUUUUAAAUUAAUGCAAGUAGCCGCUGUCCUUUUUAUUAAUUAAUUAAUUAAUUCGGCCGCCCACAUUUCUUUUCCUAAUGUCUUCUACUGUCGAUUUUCUUUUAUUUUCUUUUUAUUCUUAAAAUAUGCUUAUAAUAAUAAAAUAUAAAAAUUAAAAUUAACAUAUCAAAAUAUAAUUUAACAGAAAAUUAAGAUAAAAAUAAAAAAAAUAAAUUAUGAGCAUAUCAAUCAAUAAAUGAAAAAUAAUAAUUUUUAUUUUUAUUAAAUAUAUAUUUUUCAGUAUUAAUCAAUUAUUUGAAUAAAUAAAAUCAUUUAAAAAUAAAUAAAUAAAUUAUUCUUAAAAAAAAAGAAACUUUUUAUAACACUCACUAUGCUGGUUGUAGGGUAGACGCUUUGGGAACUGAAGCCGGUAACUUCUACAAGUAGUCUGAAGUUGACUGGCAACAACUAUAUUGACAUUUAGACAUAAUGUACUCCAACCGUAUUGGUAUGUUUAAAUGUUCUUACUAUUGUAUUGGUGUGUCAAUAUUAUCUCUAACUGCCCUAUAGAUAAAAAAAUAAUCUAAAUUUAUAAUUUAACAUAAAAUAAAAUAAUUGGUAGAAAAAUAAUUAUGGUUCAUUUACUUAUCAGUAAUCAGAAUAGACUAAAAUCGAAAUGAGUUGUAUUACCGUUGAUGUGUUUAUGUUGUCCUGGAAUCGGAAUGAAUUAUUUUAAGUUACUAAAAUAUCCUUGGUUUGUUAUUCUAAUUAUUAUUUAAUAUUUAUUAUAAUAUUUGUCAUAUCAUUAAAAAGAAAUAAUAAUGAUGAUAAUAUUAUCAUUAUUGUUUGUUACAUUAUUAUUAUUCAAAAAAAUUAUUGUUAAUAAUAAUAAUUUUUUUAUUUCAAUAAUAAUAAUGAUAAAAUUAAUAAUAAAAAACAUGACAACAACAAUAAUUAUUUAUUAUGCCAAAAAAUAACAAUAAUAAUAAGAAUAAUAAUCAUCAUCAUUUUUUUGCCAAAGAAAUCAUCAAACCAGACAAGAAAUCAUCAAAAAUUGCUAUUUCAAUUUAGGAAGAAGUUCUUUCGGUGUGCUAGCGAUGGGAGAUGUUGUGGCUGCGAUUCGGGGAGCUAAUAGUUUAUUGCACUAAUAACGGCAGGUGCUGCUGCUUGAUGCGAGGUCCAUGGCCAGUUGUCAGCAGUUCGACUUUGGCAUGGGCGCUGCUGGUUCGAUUUUAGGUGUUGUCUAAUUUCAUUUUCAGGAUUUUAAUUUUAUUUUUUUCUUUUAUAUUUUCAUUAAUUAAUCAGGGCAAAGUUUGAUUUUAGAAUUUGGAAUGAAGGUAAUUUUGUUAAUCAUGGAAAUGAGAUUUUGAUUGUCGAGAAUGAACUUACACAAGCAACUGCAAAUUAAGUGAAAACAAAACGCUUUUUCUCUUUGUGUGAUUAAAACAUGAAAUAUACCAUAAAUAAAUAGGUAAAAAUUAAAUCAACACAAUCCAAAACAGUAAACCAAUUAUAAGAGGCACAAAUUUUUAUGUGAAAUACCGAAAACGGAAAAAACCACAACAUGUUAGUAUGAUAUAAUCUUCUACUAUAUUAAUGGGAUUAUAACACAAAUUCUUCCCUAUAUUACACUAGAGAUUAACAACAUCAAGAAUCUCAAUAAUCUUAACUUACAAUACAACCUAAUAUAUGUCUCUCUAAUAAAUAGAUAUCUAAAAUAACAAUCUCUAAUAAGUAAGUAUCUCAAAUAACAGUCUCUAAUAAGUAGGUAUCUCAAAUAAUAGUUAAUAAGAGGAUAAAACAAAAAUUAAGAUUAGUAGGAUGUGUAUAAGGCGAUGCUAUCAACUUAUCUUCUAAAUUUGAGAAAAAUAGUUAAAUUCACUUUUUUGAUUGUCCGACCAAAGAUGGAAACCUUGCCCCAAAACCAAAGGAGUCACCAUUGUGUUUCUCUCUCUCUCUCUCUCUCUCGUUCUUUUCUUCUACUUUUCUUAAUGUUAGCCGCCACUUGCUUUUAUUCUUUAUAGCAUUUAAAAAGUUACUUUUAAUGGUAAAUUUCAUCUAAGUCCAAAACUUAGUGAUAAUUGCACACUAAACAAUCCUUUUUGGACUAUAGACUUUUGGACCUCCAAAUGAGACGAAUACAACAAAUCUCCCCUUUUAGAUCAUGUAGGAGGCACCACAAGCCCACUCUCUGCAUAUAGCUUUUUAACUUCUCCUUGAAUAAUGACUUUGUCAUCAUACAUAACUCAUUCUCCGUUGUGUAAAUCUUCUCAAGCUAUAACCGUUCUUUCUCAAACACGUCUCGUAUCUAAUAAUACUUCACAUCAAUUUGCUUAGAUUUCGAAUGAUAUAUCAAAUUCUUUGAACGACACUCUGAUUUUCGCAGUACAUAAUAUAGUUGUCUCAUUUUAUACCUAGCUCUUGUAGGAAAUUCUUCGUCCACAGUAUUUUUUUGCAACCUUCAAUAAUUGUAAUAUCAUUUGCUUUAGUAGUAGAAAAGACAACUUAUUACUAAAGUUUAGAUUACGAUGAGACUGCUCCUCCUGCAAAAGUGAGCAAACAUUCUAGUAGGAAUUUUUCGGAAUCAACAUCUCCUACCAUAUCUAUACACUUGUAACACAGGUUUGUCACCACCAAAAUAUAAACAUGCUCUGGAAAUGCCUCUAAGAUAUCUGAGAAUUUUUCACUAUUGUCCAGUGCUCUUUACCGGGAUUGAAGAGAAACCACUAACUACACUAGUUGUAUAAGUAAUAUCUGGUCUUGUACAAAUUAUGGCGCACACCAAACUGCCAACUGCUGAAGCAUAAGGAACUCCUCUCAUGGAGAAAUGGGUUUUGCUCUUGAGAUUUUUGGGAACAUGAAGAAUAAAUAUGUAAUUUCUUGGACUGCCAUUGUUUCGAGGUAUAUAAACAGAGGACAAGUCUAUAUAGGUCGACAGUGGUUUGCUCAGAUGCCAGAACGAGAUUAUGUCUUAUGGACUGCCAUGAUUGAUGGGUACCUUCGAGUGAAUAGGUUCAAAGAGGCUUUGACGCUUUUUCAGGAGAUGCAAACUUCAAAUAUAAUGGGAGACGAGUUUACCAUUGUUAGCAUUCUUACAGCUCGUGCGAAUCUGGAAGCACUAGAUCUGGGAGAAUGGAUAAAGACUUAUGUUGAGUGUUAGAAAAUGCAUAUUUAUAAAGGAGAAAACCAUCAUUUUACAUUUCAAGUCUUACUAACAACCCUUACUUUUAUGUAUUUAACCUUCUUGUGAUUUAAUUACAUGUGUUUUAUUUUAAUUAAGUAUUUUAUGUAUUUUAGGGACAUUAUAGUCAUUUCACAAUAAAGGAGAGAUCAGACGGCAAAACAGACAUCACUUUUGAACUCAGGACGGUCAAAAACCUUAGGAGGAGCAUAAAAGGAAAAAUGGCACUAUUCACAUGUACGGUACUAUUCACGUGUACGGUACUGUCCACGUUACUGUUCACGAUACUGUUCACAUAGACAGAUCGAUGACGUGGCAUUGACUGAUGAGGUGUCACGAUCCUGUUGGGCUAAAAUUCUUAUGUACUGUUGAUGGUGACGUGGCAGCAUAUCAAUGGACGAAAAAUCUCGCAUACAGUACAUGCAUCACACAGGAUUAUUGUCAACCAAAUCGCGUUACUGUUCAUCCGGGUCAAACCGUGUUACUGUUCAUCCACGUAGUCAAACCGCGUACUGUUGACUGAUGACGUGGCGCAAUCCUGAGCGUCCAAACUGUUUUUAAUCCGAUGGCCAUGAUUUACUCCAUGUAUCUAUAAAAAGGGGGCCUCCCCCCCUAAUUUGACAACUCUGAAUCUAUUUUGGGAUCCAUUUUCUAUAAUUCCCUCUCCAUCUUGUAUUUUCUACGUAUUUUAAUAAAUUUCCAUUUUACCCUUAGUUCAAUUAUGAGUGGCUAAUUUCCUUUCAAGCUUGGGUUGAAGGUGAAGUCUCAACAUGUGUCAUGGGCUUUAUUUGGUAAAUUUAUUUUCUUUUCCCCUCUAGUUUUUGUGGAUGAUUUGACUUUUCGUCGACAAAUAAUAUUGAUCUUGUCUAGAUACCACCUUGGUUACACCGGCUCUCUAGUACAAGGUUAUUAUUAUUUGGCACGAUAAGCCCUUAGCACCAUAUUGAUUAGAGCGUGGUUCAUGAGGUGUGGAUUCCCCCCUCAUGAUUUAAUUGGCAUUAAUAAGGAUUAUAUAGCCCAUGAUGCAUGUUGAUACGGAUCUGGAUACCCAAGUGCUUCAUUUCAAUAGAUCUAUCUUCAAUUUCUUCUCGCCAUUUUAAUUUAAGUUUUAGAAUAUUCCAAAUCAUUUCCACCACAAAUCCAAUCCCCGAUUCACAAAAUUAAUUCUAUACACAAUUAAAAUCCACAUCCUCGUGGGAUCGACACUCGUCACCAUUAGUCUAUACUACAAUAGAUUCGUGCGCUUGCGAGUACAUUAAAAUUUACACAACAACUUAUAUUGACAAAAACAAAGUCAAGAAUGAUGUAUUUGCGGGGAAUGCUUUGAUAGACAUGUACUGUAAAUGCCGAGAUGUUGAGAAAGCUCAAAAGGUAUUCAGGAAGAUGCUUUGAAAGGACAAAUUCUCAUGGACGACCAUGAUUGUUGGCCUUGCCAUCAGUGGCAAUGGUGAUAAAGCUCUUGAUAUGUUUUCCCAAAUGCUUAGGGCUUCGAUCAAACCGGAUGAGGUAGCUUAUGUUGGUGUUCUGUCUGCCUGUACUAACAAUGGUAACGAAACUUUUGUGAUAAAUAGUUGCAACUUAAGGUGAGAAUUGGAGGAAAGGAAAUAGACUGAAGUUGUUCAAUCAUCGGUCGUCUCUAUUUGGUUUUCUCCGAUAUCUCAUCUUCAGUUUUGACUCAGAUUCUAUCUUACCACUUAGGGGUGGGCAAAAUCGGGUUCGGGUCAACCCGAUCGGGUUUCGGGUUGUUCGGGUUAGACAAGGAACAAUCCGAACAUAACCCGAAUUAAUGACCCGACCCGAACUUAGUUCGGGUCGGGUCAUUAAUUCGGGUUAUGUUCGGGUUGGAUUUAAAAUGGGUAGGAUUGAGUUCGGGUCAAUUUGGGUUAGUUCGGGUCAAUUCGGGUCAGUUCGGGUCAAUUCGGGUCAAUUCGGGUCGGUUGAAAUCGGGUCAGUUCGGGUCAAUUCAGGUCAGUUCGGGUCGGUUGAAAUCAGGUCAAUUCAAGUCAGUACGUUUUUUUUUUUUAAGAACCCGAUCGGGUAUUCGGGUCGGGUCGGGUUUGACCCGAACCGAUCACAACCCGAUCGGGUUUGUAAAUUUCAAACCGAUCGGGUUUCGAUCCCGACCCGAUCCGACCCGAACCCGAAAUUUAUCGGGUCGGGUCGGGUCGGGUAAAAUGCCCACCCCUAUUAAUACCACUAGUAAUUACAUAGACUUGCUGCCAAAGGUAAGAAUGAGAAUAAAUUAAAUAGAUUAUGUCGAAAACGAAAUAAAUUUACCAUUGUUCUGUUCAUUCUAUUUGUUUCCUACAGAAUAUUUCUCCAGCCUAAAAUUUUUUGAAUUAGUAAGUUUUUAUCUUAUGCAAGAAUUGUGCUGAGAGUAAUUCCAUUUCUCAGUCUCUUUAUGUUUCAAUGAAGACGUAAAACUUGUGUUCUAGUGCACCAAUGUUUAUGCUUCUUACAAUUUGACUUUAAUUUAGUUUGUAAAACUUUUGUCAAAAAGUACUAAAAAGUAGUGCACCAAACACAAACUUUAUUACAGAGAGGACUUCAGUUAAAUUUUAAGAAAACACUCAAAAGAACGAGUUAUAAAUUAUUAUCGAAAUAUUUCACAUAAAUAAAAGCCAUCCCAUGCUGCAAAGAUCUUGCUAUAAUCACCAAAAACUAUCGGGAGCUUUUAGGGUUUCCAUAAAAAUGUCAUUUCGUUCCAAAAGUCAAUGGUGGGUAGAAAGUGGUGCAAAUGAGACUCAUUGUUAAUGGUAUAAGUUUUUGCUUAAUUAUGUCUUCCCCAAAAUGAUGAUUUAAUUUCCAUUCUCAAUUAAUUUUCAAGUUUCAACACUUUUCUAUGUAGCAUGACAUUGGAAAGAUCUUGUACAGUUGUACUACUAAAAGCUAGCACCACACGUUAGUUAUUGUUAAGUUCUUUUUCAACGUGAAAUAAAGGAAGUAGUCCUUCGUUAAAACCAUUAUAGCCAAAUUUCACGUAAUUGGACAUUUACAGACUUUUAUUUCAAGUUGGAUUUUGGUCCAACAUUUCAAAGUUGGCCCAAUUAUUUUUGUCUGGUCAAGUCCUUCGCAGCUAAGCCCCUCAAUGAAUGAGGGUGAGAUUGCUAAAAAUUACGACAGGUGAUAUUUUAUUAUUAUUAUUUGUUUGAGGGAAAAAAUAGGAAAAGCAAUAGAGCGCCACGUGUCAACCAAUGGAAUGAUUCCUGCACAAUCUAAGGUACCCCACACAAUCCGAGGUACCCCAUAUAAUAUGAGGUACCCCACACAAAUAGGGGUACCCCGCGUAAUAGGAGGUACCCCAUGUAACUCGAGGUACUCGGCAAAGCGGAUGCAAGAGAAUCCUCCGAAAAUAUCCGCCAUGAGAAACGUCUCCGCCUCCUAAAAGAUAUUAUUCAAUUUUGUCAGAAUUAUGAAUAAAAAACGACGCCCUAAAAGGAGGGACAGUCGCCUGCGACCUCUGCCAAAAGUGAAGGACACUGUCCCAAGGACAGUGGUCCCCAACGCCUACCCGACAGCUACUGCAAAGGUACCCUGGACCACUCUCCAGCGCGCGCCACGUUUCCAAAAGAUGAGAUACGCCGCGAACGUGCAGAUAACUGCCCAAAAAUUAUAAAGAGGUAAAAGGACGUUAGUAAAAAAGGGUAUGCCAUGUGGCAGCUGAGGUACUCCAUAUAUAAAGGCGCCUAGGUUUCAUUCUCCAUCAUGUUCUCACUCACCAUUAACACUCGCACUCCAAAAAAUAGGUUUUCUUCAACCUUAAACCCUAAUUUACAGAGGGUUAGUCAGCUCUCUUUACCAUAAAAGCUUGAGUUUGCUAACUUGAGCGUCGAAGUGUGAACGCCGGGGUACCCCGGCUUCACCUCUAACCUCUAUUUCACUGUUUUGCAGGCGUGAAGCUCAUUUGGAAGGACACAUCUCUUAGUUCUAAACCUUUCACCAUUGUUACCACUCUCUCUCCCUUUCUCACCUCCCCUGGAUUUCAGAUACACCACACCGCACACAAUAAACUAGUGAGGUACCCCGUCUCCCAUAAAAAUACAAAUUCAUUGUUCUAGAUAGAUUUGGCUUUUUUUACCCCAAAAUCUGUUGAAAACACUAUUUUUAAUUUUGGGGGAUAAAUCCUCACCAAAGUGAGGAGAUUUUAUCAAAAUCAAAAUAAAAAUAUAACAAGAACUGAAAGUCGGGCAGCCUAAAAGCUAGAUGAACUAAAAGUCAGGCGCCUAAAAACAACCUUAUGCAAAAGAGAAGCAACAUGAGACCGAUCAAGUAAAAGAAUCCACCGCAACACCUAAAUUGGCCAAAUUAUCUGUUGGUAUUACAAGUUUCUUGUUAUAAAAGUGUAGAAUGAAGUAGGUGACAGUAGUUUUAAGUUACAGCUGCAUGCCUAAUCGCAAUAUCAAAUAAUGAUUAAAUAUCAAAUAAUGCUUAAAGUAGUUGCCUAGGCCCGCCACAAUUUAUAUUAACUCUUAAAUUUAUAAAUAAUUAAAUUUUUAAAAGUUUGGAUUUAUAUUAAAAAAUCUUCAUAUAAAUAAAUAAUAUAUGCACUUUUACAACACAGUCUUUAAAUUUAAAUUUUUCUAGAAAAAUCUUCUGUAUAUCUUUUCUAUUAAAAAAUUUCCAUAUAAAUAAAUAAUAUACCUAAUUUAAUUGGACCCAGCACAUCGCAUAUGCAUAGAACACAUUCCACAAAGCCAUGCUAUUCGGAAAUUGACGAAUGAAAAGUGAGGAGGCAGCAGUCAAUGCUAUUUGGGCUUGGCCCAAAAUUGAUUUAUCAGGUUGACGUUUGCCAGGAAUGAAGAACUGGAAUAUCACCGUCAAGCAAGCAACCUGUGGAGCAAUACCAUAGAAUGCACAAUCCAGCUUUGCAAGGUGACACUGGAGGCUUUUUGAAAAGUGCUUCACGCUCACUUGCACAGAUUGAGCAUCCCCUCUGGAUAUUGCCCUCUCUGAUCGAGUCUGAGCACUCAAAUUUCGGUCCUCAGAUGGAGCUACAGCUUUCUCUCCAAUAACCAACAAUUUUCUAAACUCAGCACCUAGUGUGAUCAGAGUUGUUGAUAUUUGUAAAUGGAGAUCCCUGUAUUUGCAAAUGGAGACAUUUACCAAAUCACCAACAUGCUUCAUCCAGUCUACGAAAUUCUGCAGCUGAUUCAAAUCCGGAACCUGAACCAGAGUCGGAGGUAAAUCUUGAGCCAUGUCUAAAGCAGUCUGAAGUUCAAGUACUUGAGCCCUUGACAAAGGUUUUGAAAUUGGAACAUCUUGGAUUACUGCAGACUUGUACCCCUUGGUUUCAAAGGUAAGGAAAGGCAUUGCUUGAGUACAAUUUGGAGGCAGCUUCUUCACCAAUUUUAUUUGGAGGCAAUUGGCAGCGGAUCCAGCUGCACCAAUUUCAGAGCAAAUACUGACACUACUUCAAACAGCACGCUGAAGAAGAGAUAUGUCUAUGGCAAAGGCAAUGCAGUCCUCAAUUUGACUUGAGAUGCGGUAAUCACCAAAGAGAGUUUCCUUAUGAAACUGGGCAACACAUUGAAUCCCUUCACCACUGAGAAGGUUGGGGAGGAAGUAAGCUUUCUCUCUCGUAAGGAAGAGGUGGCAUACCUUCCCCAUUUUGUCUAGGACAGGUAGGAAUCUUUUUUCUAAGAGAUUUACUCCAUUCUCUGUGAGAAAUGCUUUGAACUUCAUCCCUCUGUCUCUAGCCUCACUUAUCAGUAAAAUAGUUGAAAGCGCUACAAGGAGAGAAAAGAAGAGUAUUAAGAUAUAUAUAGACAAGAAAAACAUUAGAUGUCGAUCUUACAAGCUAAUACUUCAAACAGUAUCCUAGAAAGCUAAAAACUGCAAAAUGGCUUGAAAUUUGAAAAGAACACAUGCUUUUCCUCCUUAACUUGAGAAAAUGUUUAAUAUAGUGCACCUUACAGAAACAUUUAAACAAUUAGAACUUUGCACAAAAACAUUCAAGAAGACUAAACAAAUCAGAUGCAGUGUAUUUCUCCAAGCACAAAUGGCAUUGCAUUUUUUCCUCAACUGUAAUAUUUAUUGAUGAAAAUCAGUACAGGUCCCUCAUUUGUUAUGGAAAGCUUUCUUGUAGUCUGACCGGUUAAUUCACGGGUCUAUAAUCAUCUUGCAAAGUUACAGGCAUUUCUUUCGAUUUAAAGUCUUUGCAUCACCACCUCAUCACACACCAAGCCAAUAUUCCGUCUACCUCUACAACAAAAAGUUUUAAGUAAACGAUCCUAAUGCAUGCAGCCAAAUAAAAUGCAGUAAGAAUAUUCAACUUAAAACUCUGAAAGCCAUCUUGGUGAAUUGCCUCCUUAGGGGAAGUUCCAUGCUUUACUAUACUUGACAGGACUGAGCAAAAGCUUACAUACAACAGAUUUUGAAAAUGAUGAUGCCAAUAGAUACUCAUACAAUCCAUUGAAACUCCUAAGGUCCAUUGUUCACAGAGGUUUACAGAGUUUUGGUCAUCAAAUAGCUCAGACCUUAAUCCCAAACAAAAAACGAGUGAAAAUUAGAUCACCAGCAGCUAAUUGUAAAUUCUAACUUAACUCUUCAUCUCCUUUGUAAACAGGAGACAAAAUGGAGACACGCAAAAUGAAUAAGGAGAACAUUUGAACUCAAAUGAAAUGAGGGCACGAAAGCAAACAAAUGGCAUGCGCAAACAAACCAAGCCUCAAUCAAAAACUAAUUAACCAUUAAAAAAAAAAAAGUGGUCAGAGAAUGAACUCCAAAUUCGGGAGUGAAGCAAGAAGCUUUCAUUAUUUCAGAAGCUCCUGUACAAAUUAAUAAGUUAUGCUCUUUGGAAACAAACCUAAAUUCCAAGAGAAAGAGAACUCAAAAAAUUUGCAAUUAUACGCAAAGGAAGUGAAGCACAGCAUUCUAUCACACGUACAAAUUGUAUAACAAGAGAUCGACACAUCGAAUCAGAAGAACUCAAUUCAAAUUUGUCUCAAAAAUCAAAAUUAGAAGAUUUCACAUUUCGAGAGGAACAAGCGACAGGUCAGAUGCAAAAUUUUCAGCCACAACAUGCCACAAUUAACAGUUUAUUUCCAUGGAUUUAGAGAGCUGACUGACCUUUUGGCUUUUGGAAUUGAGAAGAUCGCGGGCCAAAAUGGAAGAGGGAAAGCGAAAGUGCGGGUUUUAAUAGGGUAUUGGAUUAGCAAAUUUAAUUAGUUUGCGAGGGUAAAAUAGGAAAGAGAUAUCACUAUUAACUUUUUUUUUUAUAAGAAAAAAGAAUAAUAAAGAAUAUUUUAUUGUCAUUUGCAGCCUGCAAAUGACAAUAAAUCAAAUACGUCAUACAGAAGCUUAAAGCUGAAUCUAAAAAAUCUAGAGCUCUCAACUACAAAAAUUACACUUGAUGAUCCUCUACAAGAUGAAGCUUGUUCAAUAUCUUAUCCAAAGUUUAUAAAGUAACCUUGUAACGAUCUUGAGAUUGCCUGCCUUCCUCGACGACCUGCACGAUGCGUUUGUACAAAUCAUCAUACCUGUGCACCGGAUUUUUAAUAUCAACGCCACUGCAGCUGUGAUCAAGAACAUAAGAGCGUUUAACAUCUUUUCUCCAUCGAGAAAGAAUGUAGUGAGAUGGGAUCUCCUGCAUGCCACUCUGGUUUAGAACACAAAGAAUGUGUCUGGAUAAAUAUCCUCUGAAAUUGAACAACCCACAAACACAAAGCACCUCCAAGUCGGAGGCAUUGUACAAAACAUCGAAAGCCCUUGAAUCUUUCUCGUUGCUACCAACCUCAAAUUCUUCCUUCACUAUGUAUGUUAUAGGUCCAUCAGCACUGACAUGUUUUGUGCUAUAGCAAGAGUACAUAGCCUCCACCUCCGUCUGAAACUUCCUUCACAUUUCAUUUGUGUACAGUUUUGAGAGUUGAAAUUCAUAGUCACAUCUUGGUUUCUGGAUACAACUUGAAUUUCUUGAAUCCAUAUCUGCCAAGGCUUCCGGUUGAUAAUUCGCCUGCAGUGCUUGAUCAUACUUGUGUAAGAAUUCUUUCAAAGGAGUACGCUUAUCAAGAUAUCCUUCAAAGUAUGAAGUAGAAACCUCAUUCUGCAGGAAUGAAAACACUCCUGAUAAAAAUGCUUCCUUCAAAUAAACAGGAGCCCACCUUUUACGAUCUUCAUAUAAAGUUUGAAUCCAUCCGUGAUCCUUUAUUCCAUGACGUUGAAUCAUGUCUUCCCAAGCUGCUUCAAAUUCCUCAGGCCUGAGAGAGUGAUAAAUUGCUCUAUGUAAUGCACCUCUAAUAGCUUCAUAUUCAAACAAUCCUUGGAGUUUCUCUGGAAUUUUUUGCAAGAUGCAUGACAAUGAAAAGCAAUGAUAAGCUCUUGGGAAAACAUCGCCAACAGCAAUUUGCAAGAUUCUACAUUGGUCAGUGAUGAUUGUUUGUGGAGAGCGUCCUAACAUACAUGUAAGCCACACCCUAAACAACCAUGUAUAUGAUUCUAUGGUCUCCCUGGCAAGUAAACCACAACCCAACAACACUGAUUGUCCAUGAUGAUUCACCCCAAUGAAUGAAACCAGUGGUACAUCAUAUCUUUCAGUCAAGCACGUAGUAUCAAUUAAGACUACAUCACCAAAGUACCUAUAUGCAACUCUUGACCUGGUAUCAGUCCAGAACAGGUUUCUCAAGCAUCCCUUUUCAUUUAGAUCCACUACAUUAAAAAAGUUUGGAUCUGUCAACUGCAAACGACAAAAGAAACUCUGGACAGCUUGUGCAUCUCCUGGUUUAAGCUUCAAUUGAUUUGAGCUAUUAACAUUAUUUCCAAAUACUCCAUUAACAUCUACAUUACCAUUUCCCUCGGUAUCGAUGAUAAGAGUUCGAAACAGUCUAAUUUUUUGAACGUCUUCAGCACUAUCUAAUUGCAAUGUUCUUUUGGUUCCAAUACCUAUGUGCUUAUGUGACUUGUAAAACUUUCCGCUUCUUGGGCUUAACAAGUGGUUAUGCUCAAGCUCGACUUCAAUGAUUCUCCACCUUUUGGUUUCCAUCAACCUAAACUUUAUCAUUGCUGGACAGCCAGUUCUUGUUUCUGGUCUUGGGCGGUUUGCCUCGCUUUUCUUCUUGAAGCCUGCACUACUACAGCUCAGCUUUCCUCUAUACUUUUCUCUACUCUUUCGGUACCAUGUAUUGCUAACUCUAACACCAAAACCCUGUUCCUUGGCAUAGCAAUUGUAAAAGUAAUAAACAUCAUCAUACGUCUCAAACUCCAUUCCAACAGCAGGAGCCAAUGGAUUUUGGAUUAUCCCAGUUUGUCCAACAUAUUCAGUCAUUGCACAAUCUCCUACGACCUCAAAAUCAUCAGCAUCAUCAUCACCUACUGGUUCAGUAUUCAGAGAAACUUCAUCCAUCUACAAUAGAUGUUUAAUGAAGUGAACUUUAAGGAGAAAAAGCAAAAUCAGUUCAAGGAAUGAUAAUAUAACCAUACAGUUACUUUCACAAAGCUGCGUAUUUCAUCAAUACCUUAACAACAUACAACUGCCUGAGAACGUAUAGACAUGUCAUAGACGCUUGAAUUAAGUAUUGGUACAAAUUCAUGUGGGACACAAUUUCAGUCACUAAACCCAAUGCCUUUUUUUUUCACAUCAUACCAAGGAACGGAUUAAACCCAAUACCUUCUUUUACGCCAUACCAAAGAACAGAUUAAAUCAUCAAUGAAAAAUUAAUCACAUAAUAAUUUAACUAGACAAAUAAAGAGCUCGAAACAGCACAAAACUUGAAUAUGAUUAUGAUAAUUGUUGAGUCAUUGUAUCUACAGCUUUCCUUCAACAAGAAGAUUAUGAACAUAAACUACACACAAAAAAUUUAUUUUAAACUGACAUAAAUUUAUUCAGUUACAUUGAAACCCAAAAAAGGAAGCAGGAGCUGGAGAAAAACAACAGCAGAGAAACUUAUUUCCAGAAGGUUUACGAAAUAAGGAAUUUAUUAAGACACAAAAUUUGAGGUCAACAAUAAGAAUUUGGUUCUCAUUCUCUUUUUCUUCAUUUUUCACUUAUUGAUGGAGUUACCAUACAAUCCUAAAUGAUAAAACCCCAUCUCCAUCUUUUUGAAAUAGAGUUAAAGCAAAGCUUUUUAAGAUGUUUUUCCCUAAAAGACUCAAUAGUACAAUGUUUUUCAAUAUUAAAUACACAACUCAAUCUUCCCCUAAUUUACUCUAAUAAUCUCUUAACUAAGGAAGAUUAAGCUCCACUUGUAAGCUAAAACAAGUUUCUUAAAUCAAGCCCCAAUGCUCUAUGCUAUUCAACAAGGCCUCAUAAAUGAUAAAACUACCUCUACAAAGAUACCCAUUUUAAUUUCGCAAACUAAAAUCGAACUCCUGAAACGUAACGAGCAUUAAAACAAACAAGUCCGAACAAGAACUGAAAAAUGAUACGUAAACCCGUUUCGACAAACAGUUUCCAAUCAAUGAGCAAAAAAGUUAAUGGAAAACAUGAAAUUCAAACGAAACAUACCUUAGGUUGAUAAAUUAGUAGCGCAAAAGAAAUUUUAGCGAGAUAUGGGAUCAGGGAUUUUGCCACGGUGAUGUUAAUUGCGACAUUCGGGUGACUCAGCAGCCUUCGAGGCUGAAACUUUGAUUGACCAAAAGCUUCCCGUUCGUUGAUUCUCUAAUUGCAGAAACGAAACUGGCAGUGUACAGAAGACGUACGCUGAUUUGAUAAUUCUGUGAAAAUCAUUGUUUUUUUUCAGAUUUUUAAUGUGUUCGAUAAAAUAUCAAAAUCUCAAAAACUUUUGUCUUUCAUUUUGGGGGGGAAAAACCCAUUGAGAUCCUUAUGUUUUUUCUUAUAUAAUCUGGCUUAAUAAUUUGCAAAGUCUAUUACUUAGCACCCAUGCAUGCUGCGUUCCAAUUUACAAAAUUGUACGUGAGUGCAUCCAGCUAAAAUUUGUAAAAAGAAAAUAGCAAUAACAUGUUAAAAAUGUGAUUAUUAUGAAGAAAUUUUAAUUUAGUUAAAUAGGUGACGAUGGAUAGGUAUAAAAUCUGAGAUCUUUUAUAAGGUUAAUAAAUAUGUUGAGUUUGGAUUAGUUCAAUUUUGAAAUAAUAAUAUUCAAAAUAUCUCUUAAAUCAUUAUAAACCUCAAAUCUAUUUUAAUUUUAUUUAAAAGAUAAAAGAAAAAUAGGUUAUGUUGGUGAUUUUUUAUUAUCUUUUUAAUAAAAAUGAAAUAAAUUGAUGUUUAUAAUUAUUUAAAGUAUUUUAAAGACUGCCAUUUUAUGAGAGAAAAAUAUUUCACUUUUUUUUAGUGUGAAAGGCCGAAAAAGGACAAAGCAAGUUUCCCUAGUUUUUAUUUAUUUGAAAUUGGUCAUCUCAUAUACUUCACCCUUCAACACUAUAAUUUUUUUGGUUAUAAUUUUAUUAUUUUUUCUCUUUUACACAUGCAUGUGAAUUACUUUUCUUUAAGCUCCUGAAUAUUUAAGAUAAAUCAUGGAAGAGAUGAGAGUAUAACAAGAUGACCAAAAUAUGUAACAAAAAAAUUUUAUAAGUGAAAAAUAUGUUAGAGACUUACAGUGGAAGUAAAACUCUGAGGUGAUGUUUGAUUUGAAGAAAAUGGAGGAAAUGAAAAGACUGGAAUGUAGAGGAAAAGAGAGAAAAGGAGAGGAGAGGAGAGUGAAAUUUUUUUCUAAUGUUUGGUUUGUCACAUAAUUAUACAAAGAAAGGAAAUCUCUAAUUUUUUAUUUAGACAAUUUUAACCUUAAUAAGUAUUAAGUUUUCAAUAUUUAUCAUGUGUAUAAUUAAAAAAAAAAGAAGUAAAUGGUAGAAAGCGGUUUCUGAUUCCGGCCACAUCGCCCGCAAUGGAAGGUACUUAUCAGAACAUCAAGAGCCAGCCAUCAUUCCCUAGCCAUCACUGCUGUCGGAACACUGCCGGAAAGCUGCCGAUUGAACCGCGAAAAGUCGUGGAAAUCGCUGCCUCAAAUCGGUGAGUUUCGCCCUUUUCUGGUCACGCCGUCGCCAUGGCUUUGUCCAUCAAGCCUGCCACUUCCAUUUUCAACCAUCCAUAGCCACUAUUAAUUGCCAAAUCACCGCCGAUCAGCGGGAUCUGUGGAAGUUAAAAAGUUUCUAAAUUUUUUUAACUGGAUUUGAACAACAUACGACCAUUUUUUUAUCUCGAUAACGACGUAGUAAUGUUGAUCGUUGGUCGGCAAGUCGUAUGGUAGUGGCAGUGAGUAACACGCGCCAAUCACAUCGGCGGCGGCGGCGGCACUAUCCGGCGACUGUUAAAAUAAUAUUUUAUAUUUUCAGAUUAAAUAAAUUUAUUUUAUUAAAAUUUUUAAAUCAUUAUUUAAAUUUAAUUAAUUUAAAAUUAUCUAUAAUGUUGAAUUGAUAAAAUAAAUUUAUAAAUAAUAAUUAUGUGAUUACAUUAAAUAAGUUAAAAAGUUGAAGGGUUAGUUUUGGAAGAUUUAGUUUCCAACACAAAGGGAAUUUGAAUUCUUCACUUCUUAGUGUGGAAUUCAAAUUCUAUAUUGUAAUAGAUAUUAAAUUUCAAUAAAAAUUAAAUUCUUAUAAGUUAUGUCAAACCAAACAACGAAAAUAAAAAAGAAAUUUAAAUUAUUUUUCUUUCCUCCACCCUCUCCUUCCAACUAAAUACAUCCUGAAAAUAGAGAUAUUGAUUAAUUUAGAAGAGAUUCAAGCAAAAAAUAUUCCAAAAAAAAAAGCAAUAUGUCCCUUUGGAGGGCAAACUUGUCAGUUUCAAAAAAGUACAUGCUUUGUAUUGAUAGUUGUAGGAUAUUUGUUUUGUCACUAUGUAUUAGUUGGAGAAGUCCAGCCUUGUGGAGAAUGUUAUGAAAGAGCAAAGGAUAUUCCUGAUAGCUGAUAGAGCUCUAUCUGAUUAUGUAUCCAGUGAAUGGAUGUGUUGUUGGAAGAUAUCUGAGUGCAUUAGUUCAUAUGUGUCUGUCAAUGUGCUUUUAAUGAUUUUUCCACCUGUUUGUUGUAAAAGAUUAUUGUAAAUUGAAAUGAACUUGAUGUUUUAAUAUUUUCUUCCGUAAAUUGAAAUGAACUUGAAUUAAAUCUCGUUGAAUUUAAUAUUAUCUCCUUAGUGGAAUUUCACCUAGUAUGUAUUCAGUUGUGUUGUCUAUAAUUUUGCAUUCGAGUAAGUUUCACCUAAAACAUUAGCAUGAGUAGUGGCCCUUGAACCUUUGGUCAAAAUUAUUGUUAUUAUUUCUGACUAGAUGUAAAUUUUGUAUUAAAUCUCGUUAACACAAUUCUUAAUUAAAAGUAUAGGUUAGUGUUGGUGCAAGAUUUGCCACACCAAAUUCUGCCUAGCUGUCAAAAGUGCAAAAUAAAUGAAGAGAAAGCACAAAUACACGACUUGAAUAAGGAUACAACGAAACUUAAAUUCAAGAGAAAAUGAUAGCUAUAUCCCAAGAUUUGAAAAAGUAGUCAUGUAGGUUUUUAAGAUUUCAAUAAGCGACUGAGAUUCAAAUAAUAUCCUUUAAUUCUAUUAAUAAAAAACAAAGACUCAAAUAUUUUAUGAUAAAUAAAAAUAUAAUAUUAAAAUAUAUGUGAUAAUAUACACAUUUUAAAUACUUUCAAUCCAAAAAAAUAGUUAUGUUUUACAAUCUAUUAGACAUAUUUUAUUAAAUUAAUAUAAAUUUUCUAUAAAAUAAGAAUAUAAUAUUAAAACAAAUUCACAGAAAUUUAAAGAAUUUUGAAUGUAAAAUAAUUUUAAUAUAUUAAUACGUGAGUUUUUUUAUUAAUAUAAAAAUUAUUUAACUUUAAGAUUUUUUAAAAUCUUUACAAUAAGUAUAACUAUAUUAUUUACAUUUAAAAAUAUUUAAAUAUUAUUAACCUACAAUUAUAUUUGCAUUUGUUAGAAAUUUUUAAAGUCAAAUAUUUUGCACUUCUAUAUUAUUAGAAUUAUUGCACACAAAGAAAGAAACAUAUACGUUUAGAAAUUGUUUUCUUUUAAAAUAGAGAUGAUGAUUAGUAUAAGGAUCAAAAAAAGGAUAAAGAAUAUUAAUGAUUAACGAAAACUCUAUACAAAUUGAUUUUAGUAGGAAAAGAGUGAGAUGAAUGAUUUCUUUUACAGUUAGAAAAAUAGAUGAUGAUUAUUAUAACGAAGAAGAAAAGAUAAAGAAUAUUAAUUAUUAAUGGAAUCUCUAUGCAAAUUGAUUUCAGUAGGAAAAAAAAUGAGUUAAAUGAUUUAGAGUGCGUUUGGAAUUGAGAUUGGACAGCCAUAGAUUUUAAGUUACAACACUGAAGUGUUUGGUAAAUACUAGCUGCUGCAGAUUGAAAGUUAUGUUGAUAUGAUUUUUCACAUGUAUCAUAGAAAAUAUAUUACAUCUUUAAUAAUUUUUUUAAAAUUUGUAUUUGCUAUAUAUUGUUUUUUUUAUAUAGUUAUAACUUUUUUUUUUUCCACAGCAGCUGUAGCUUAAAAGCUACAGCACCUCAAUCUCAAACAAGUCCUUAGACAUUCAUAGUGUGUUUAUUUUUUGGAUUGGUGAAUCAAAAUUAUUGACAACGCUAACUUCAUCUUCACCGUUCGCAAUCCAACAGCAGCAAUUGUCGCCAAUAAUGAUAUCGCCGAUGAUGAUGACAAUAAUAAUAAUAAUAAUAAUAAUAAUAAUAAUAAUAAUAAUAAUAAUAAUUAUUAUUAUUAUUAUUAAUAAUUAAUAUAUUAAUAUAUUAAUGUUAAUAUUAUUAUUAUUAAGAUUAACAAUAAUUAUUAGUAAUACAAUUUUUUGAAUAAAAAUAAUCACAAUAAUUAAAAUACAAAUUAACAAUUAUGACAAUAGUUAAUUAAUGUCUUUUUAGUAAUUUGUAAUAAUCUAACUCAUUUUAAUUCUGAUUAUUACAGUUUAAGUAAAUAAAUUAUUAUGAUUCCUAUUCUCCUUUUCUAUUUUAACUCACUUCGAUUCCAGUCUAUUCUGAUUUUUGUUUAAUAAACGCACCAUUAGUGCUAAAGUAAUAUUUCAUACAUAGAAAAGUAAAAACUACACCUAAGGUUAAGGGAAAGGACUUCAAAACUCUCUUUUGAUCAUAAUACAUUUUGUACUAAUUAACUUAAAGAUUUUGAAUCUAAUAUUUUAUAAUAAAUAAAAAUAUAUUCCUAAAAUAAAUAUAAUAUCAAUAUUUAAAAUAUGUUUUAAUAUUUUACACAUUUUAUUAUAUUAAAGUAGAUUUUAUAAUAAAUACAAACGUCCUAUUAAAAUGAAUAUAUAAAAAAUUUAGAAAAUUUAGAAUAUUAUAUAAAAUAAUUUUAAUAUAAUGCGUGAGAUAUAUUUUAUUAAUUUAAAAUGUUAUUUUACCUAAAAAAUAUGAUAAAUUAAUAAUUACAUAUUUGAAGUUAUUUCAAAUAUUAAAAAAAUUUAAUAUUAUUAGUCUUUUAGAUAGAUUAAAUUAUUUUUUUUAUAAGAGAUAGAUUAAAUUAUUUUAAAAUGCCUUAAUUAUUUUUACUUUUAACGUUACCGGCCUUUCUUUUAUUUUAUUGCAAAUUAAUGCUAACAAGAAAAAGCUAGAUCAUAUUCCACAAAAGCAAAAGUGACAAACACAACCAGCUGGAAUCUUUUAUAAAACUACAAAUUAAAAUGGAUUUUUUUUUUGAUAAAUUACACAUGAAAGUGGAUUCUUUUGAAUAUAAGUGGAGUAGGCUCUUUUAUUUUAUUUUUGAAUAUUGUAUAACGGGACUGUAGACUCUUUUAUUAAACUACAAAUUGUAUAGUCUUUUUAAAAUUGUUAUAAAUUAAUGGCCCCCACAAUCCUCAACAAUUGUACCGAUAUUCACAAGUUGGUGGCCCCUACAAUUCUGUUCCGAUAAUUUAACUGUGCAAGUGCUCAUUCACAAUCUUCCAGGUCAUGCUCUCAAUAAUUGUUUUUUUUUCCUGCAUUCCCUUUGGGAAAUUUACGAAAAUAAUCAUUAAUAUUUUAUUAUUUUUACAAUUAACCGUCUUAAUUUUUUUCUAUCAACAUUAGCCAAAUACAAGUCUUUCUUCCCAAAUUACCCUUCUUUACAGAACAAAACCAACAUUGUUUCUCCCAUAUCGCCAAACCAAAAGCAGCUUUUUAUUCUUAAAUCAUCAGCCAACGGCGACCGCAAAAGACAACGGUAAAAGUGAUAUCCGAUCAUAAUCUAUCCGGAUCCAACACAAAUCUACAUCACUCAGUGGUAUGAAUUAUUUUUUGAACUUACUGAACUCAGUCGGGUGAAUCUGAGUCUGGCGACAGGCUGCCUGUCGCAGUAAAACUUGGUGCGACAGGCAACCUGUCGUACCAAACCUUGGUGCGACGGGCACCCUUGGAGAUUUAUUAAAAAUGUAUUAUUUUAAUAGGACUCAAAUAAUUUUUUUUUAUAAUUUCAGGCUUAAUGGAUUCAGUUGUACUUGAAUUGUGUUACGAUGGUUGGUGGGAGACAUUAGAGAAUGGCUGUAUGGAGUACGUGAAUGGUAAAAAUCGAGCUUUUUUGGUUGGAAAAAAUUACUUGUUUGAUCAGUUAUUGGCAAGAGUAUACGAGGUAUUAAAAAUAAACCCUAAUGACUAUAGUAUCACAAUGAAGACAACUUUGAGGUCUAGUAACACAUUAUAUCGUAUAUGUGCAAUGCCCAUGGAUAUAUGUGAUGAUGAAAUGGUGAGGGUUGUGUUGCAUAUGGCAUCUGACGUAGCUAAUUUUGGAUGCAUUCCUAUAUUCGUGACCACAUCACCUCGACUUCCGAGCGAAGGUAUUGAGCCACAUGUCGAUAUAGAAACUUCGUUUAGAGCAAAUAUGUCUGGCCCCGAUAAUGAUGAAGAGGUGUUGCCAAGGACAAUAUCGCUGCAGCAAUAUUACUCUCCAAUCCACGACAAUUAUGAUAACAUUGAUGAUAAUAGCGUUACGUUACAGGAUGUUGGAGCAACGGUAUUUCCAAUAACAACGUCGUUGGAGCAACGAUAUUCUCCGUAUCACAACAAUGAUUUUCGGGACAAUGAUGAUUUUCAUAAUGAGACAGAGGAGGAUAAUGUUUGUGCAGAACCUUCUAAUAAUACGAGGCGGGGCACUCGUUUCAAUAAUGAUGGUGAUGAUGGAGGAGUCGGUCAUUCGAAUGUUCCGUCGUUUCAGCAUGAGGAUGAGUGUGAAGACAAUACUCCUGUGAAUAACAGAGGCAAUAGACCUAUUCCUUCUAUGGUUCGAUCGAGAAGGAGAAUUGACCCCCUUACAAGUCUUGCUCCAACUUUACCUUCGAACAUGGUUGCUCCAAGCUUUGUUAGCAGUUGUGACUCAGAUGAUAUCAGCGUGGGUAAGCUAUUUGUUGAGAAGAAUGAGCUUAUAUUACAACUACGCAAGGUGGCCUUUAGAGAUAAGUUUGAUUUCAAGAUUGCACGGUCUACUACGACACGUUUCGAGGCUCACUGUUGUUCAGAAUCAUGUAAAUGGCAUAUUCGAGCAACUAGAAGUUCGAACGAGCAAAAUGUUCCUUGGGUGGUGAAGAGAAUUGAUAAUGUACACACUUGUCAUAAUGAGGUAUUGAUUGAUGGACGUCAUCAAGUAAGGAGCCGGGUUGUCGGUCAUAUUAUCGCAGAAAAAUAUAUUCAAGAUAAGAGGAUUUAUACUCCCAAUGACAUAAGAGCAGAUAUGCAACAGGAAUACGGUGUUCAGUUAACAUACCAGCAGGCAUAUAGGGCGAGAGAAGUUGGUCUUGAAAUAGUUCACGGCAACCCUGCAGAGUCAUACAACUUGCUCCCUAAAUACUCUCACGUACUAACUACAACGAAUGAGGGUACAGUCACUCACCUCGAGCAGGAUGGAGAUGGUAAUUUCUUGUACUAUUUUGUAGCACUCGGAUAUUCCAUCAAGGGGUUUAUGCAGUACAUUCGGCCUGUCAUUGCUGUAGAUGGUACUCAUCUAAAGAGAUUAUAUCGUGGAAGCAUGUUCGUGGCAACAUGUCUUGAUGGUAACAAUCAAUUGUAUCCGUUAGCCAUUGGGAUCAUGGAUUCAGAAAAUAAUGAUGCUUGGGAAUGGUUUAUGAUGAAGUUACACGGAGUGAUUGGUGAUAGACCUGAGUUGGUAAUUAUCUCUGAUCGAUGCACUGCCAUAAGGAGAGCCGUUCUUAAAGUAUUUCACAAUGCAACUCAUGGCGUUUGUUUUUACCACGUCAAAGGUAACAUUAAGUCACAAUUUAGAAUGUCCAAAGCUCUUUGGGAUGAAUUUGAGCAUGCCUUUAUUAAUGCAGCAAAAGCAUAUGGCCACGAGGAAUUUAAGAGACAACUUGAAGGGUUGUGGAUGAUCCACUCGGGUGCGGCUGAUUACUUAGAAAAUAAUGUCGGCACGUGUAAUUGGGCAAGGUCUCAGUUUCAAGGUAGGAGGUACAACAUUCUUACCACCAACAUCGCGGAGAGUGUUAAUGCUUUCAUGAGGGAACCUCGAAAAUUUCCUGUUACUCAUCUUGUUGAUCACUUCAGGAAAACAUUGCAGCAAUUGUUUUAUGAUAGAAAAAUUGUGGCUGAAUCAAUGACUACUCGGCUAACAACAUGGGCGGAUGAAAUAGUCACUGAGAGGAGAACUAUAGCUGAAAGAAUGAUAGUUCGGCCGGUGUCUCCGCAUCGCUUUCAAGUUAUAGGCGGUGGGCUUAAGGAAGGGUUGGUUGACUUGCAAAAGAGAACUUGCUCCUGCAGAGUGUUUCAGCUUGAUCAGCAUGUGUGUGCUCAUGCAAUUGCGGCGUGUCUAACACACCGGGUGGAUUUUAUUAACCUUUGCUCGGACUUUUACACUACAGAAUCGUUGGCGAUGGCUUAUGCACAACCAGUGGAGCCAGUUGGUGAUGUGGCUGAUUGGGAAGUUCCAGAUGAAAUUCAGGAGAUGCAGGUAUACCCACCAGUUGAGGCACCACUACCUGGCCGUCGUAAAGAGCUCAGAAUACCCUCGACUGGCGAGGACGUUGACCGGCGGACUGUAAGAUGCGGCCGGUGUCAUGAACUAGGCCAUAAUCGUAAGCGAUGUAAGAAUCCUAUUGCGUCGACUCGAAGUUAGUUGUAUUUUGUGUGUUAUUCGUUGGUUAAAACUAUUAUUGUUUUUGUGUUACAUUGGUUAAAACUGUUAUUGUUUUUUGUAUUUCGUUGGUUAAAACUGUUAUUGUUUUUUGUGUAUUGUACACUUAUAUUCAUAAAACUUUAUUUUAUUUUAAAGUUCAAAAUGUGAGGCAUUAAAAUUAUAUAAACUUAAGUGCGGAAAUUAAAAAAAAUGCAAAUUUCAACAUUGAAAUUACUACAUAGGUCUACAAUAUAAUAUCGUCAUUAAAUAUAUCAACCGCAAUCUUCUUUCUAAAGUACUCGACAUGACUAGCGUUAAACUCCAAUCUAAGCCCGAACAUUAAAUACAUCGUAACCAUCAAUACAAAAACACUGCAAUCGCUAGUUCCGGGCUCUUGUUGUGGUGCGCUCUUAACUGCGAUAACUUUCCACGGGUCUUCACUCCGCAACUCAGGUCGGAUAUUGUAGAAGCCAACAUAUUCCAACCAUCGAGGGAAUAUAACUUCAAGUGGCUUGAAUUUCAACUUGUACUUUUUGUCGUCGCGAAAUGUGAGUAAUGAGUCAUAAAUCCAGACUUUAUUUUUCCGAAAGUCAACUCGUGCUAGUACCCAAUGCGCGCCGUCCAAGUUAACAGGGAUGAGUAACUGCAUAUAAAAAUUAAAAAAACAUGUUCGUUAUAUAUGAAAUUGAAAUACAACAAAGAAAAAGCAACAACUCGAAUAUUUUCAUUAUAGAGCAUGUGAAAUGUAAUAAAAUACACACCAUAUCGACAUCCGUCAUUAAUUUUGACAUUGUGUGCUGUCGCCCACAAAGAUAACUAUUCAAGCGGUCGUCGAAUACCAUUGAAUCAACUGCACAAUUCCUGUUAUUCCAUAACUGAUUCAAGAACACCUAGUACAUAGAUAACCAAGAAAUGCAUAAAUUAAUAAAACUUAAAGGCAAUAAUUAAACAAAUUAAAUAGUAUUUAUAAGUUUUGUCGGCACGUUACCCAAAAAAAUGUGUCAGUAUGUGUGACACGUUGGAGUAAGGCAUUUGGAUACUGCCGUUGUUUCUCGCUAAUCAAGCGGAGAUACUCGUGAAUAUGCUGUAGAGAAACAAAAAUAUUACGAUUUAAAAAAAAAUUAUACACAAAUCCACAACAGUAUACACCACGAGGAAAAUAUAAAUACCUCAUCGCCUAGCCAUCCCAUCGAAGCUGUCCCCAAAAUUAUUUGAAAGAAUGACCGCAGGUGCUGGACUCUCCGGCGGACUCUGCUAUCACCAGUGAACCAUCGAUCAAACUCAGCAAACAAACUAGAGUCCUCCAAUCCUCUCAGUGGAUUUACAUCCACACUCGUACUCAUGUCAAUCGCAUGCUCCAUCAUUUGGGGUCGAGGUAACCUCCGGACGUUCUGUCCACGCCUGACCGGAGGAAUCAUGUAAGGACUGUUAUAAACAUACGACGGUAUGUACGCGCGGCCGAACUUACUAACGCCCGGAGGCACCUCUGUGAACACCUGCAUGCUCUCCCCACUAACAUCCCCGUAUAAACUAUAAAAUGACGUGGGCGUAGACAAAUUUUCAUUGCCCACGUCAGUAUACACUCCAUAGUCAUCCGGGGCCUGUACAUUCGCCAAAAAGAACAUAUUAAAUAAUUAUCAAAUUAAAAGUUAAACGAACAUAAUUAUUUAAUUUAAAUUAGCUUACCGCAUACGAGCGUGCAGUGGGAGAAUCCUUAUUUGGAUGUUUAGAAAAUGUGUCGAUGAAGCCAACAACGGUUUCUUUAAAAUCUUUUAAUUCUGACUUUAUUUCAUACACAUUACGAUCAAUCUUAUCCAGCCGUCGUCGUACGUAAUCAUUAAACUGCUUUGUCCUCGACUAUUACAAAAGAAAAAAAUAAAACUUUAGAAUAACAAUAAAAAAAUAAUAAUUUAUAAAGGAAAAAUAUCGUAUAUUAUUUAUAACCUCAGAAUCCCGUGCGUCAUCAGAGUUGUCUGUUUGCUGCUGGUGGUCAUCAACAGCCACCUCAUCCUCAAAAGUGUCAAGACGCUGCUCUGGUAUUGGGUUUAGUAUGUCGUCAUGAUCAUCAUGCUCGUCCGAUUGUCUUGUAACCGACGGCAUCGCGUUGAUUGAGGGUUGGUGCUGUAUAAAGUAUCAUUUAAAAUUACUAAAUGAAAAGUCAAAAAUUUCGAUAAAAAAAUUUUUAGUACUUACAGUAUACCGACCUUAUGAAUCCAAUCUGGAAUGCUUGGCAAGUAAUCCUUCACAGAGAGUCAAUAUUUUCUGCUACUCUCUUUUGAAUUUGGCUCAAGAGUUUGUAAAAUGUCCGUCUGCCAUAAAUUCAAUUGAAAAAUUUAAGUAAGUAUACCCAACUUAAAUUUAGUAAAGUUAAAAAAUAAGUAAUACAUAUUACUUACAAGACGAGAUUCGUCGUUGAAGAACGAAUAAACCUCCGCAAAGUUGAUUCUCGAAGACGUCAUGGGCUUCCAUUGCAGAAUGCGGGGAAUCUUACUCUUCGUUUUGACGACCCAUGUUGAUGGCAACCCUCCGAUUGCUUCGUAAAUCCAAGCCUACAACAAACCAAAGUGAAAAAUCAAAUAAAACAACUAUCAAAUAUUUAAUACUAUAAAACUUAUUAAUAAACAAAAAAAAGCACCUGCACCCCAGACGUAAAGCCGUAAAGAUUAUAUUUUUCAAUAUUAUGAUCUGAAUUUUUCAACCGAGUCUUCUUAAAUUUCUCGUCUUUCUCGAACAGUGCAUUGUCAAGACUCUCGUAAAUCAUUUCCCACGACAAUAGACCCCAUGGCGCUUUCGGAAGUACUGUAUAUCAUCAACUUGGUCAAGCCAAUCGAAAUUAAUUUGACAGUGAUUUUUUCUUGCAUUUAGUACUCUGUCCGCAAAAUAAAACAGCGCAAUCUUUAAUGCGUCCAUAUCGUCCAUUUCCUCGAAAUUCAACUCCUUAAAUACUGCAUCAAAUUGCUUCACAUUAAUCUUACGAUGCACACCACCAAAAUACGUAUUCCGUAGCCUCUGCUCCAUUUCAUCAUUUUUUUCAUUGGUAUCAACACCAAAUGAAAGUCCAGUAACCAAGCACCAUUCGAUAAUUGACAAGCGAAUCAAAUGCUUACCAAUUUGAAACCAUAACUGAUCCUCACAGCUAUCUUCUUCAUGGGCCACUUGCCGCAGUAAACGAUUGUGCAAAAUUACCCCACUAAAUGGAAAACUUCGGCACUCCAAGAAAUGCCCAAAUAUAUCCUUUUUGAACAUACUCAACUGCCGCUUUGUUAAUUUUUCCUCGAUGGCUUUUACGACCGAAGAUAACAUACACAUGCUCGAAAUUCGACCAGGAAAGUGAUCAGCAUAACGAAAAUACAUCUUGCCUACUUCAAUAUCCGGUGAUUCUGAUUUCGCCAUGUAUCUGUAAUAUUUAUAAAAUUAUUACAUUACAUUUACAAAAUUAUUACCAAACUCUAAUUUUUUGGUGCGACAGGCGCCUGUCGCUCCAAAAAACUGCCUGUCGCACCACAGCUGGUGCUCCAAAAUCGAAAACAAUACUCCCAAACACUACCAACUACCACAAACAUCAUCACCACCACUAUUAAUCUCAAGCUAUAACUAUUAUUAUUCUAAAAUCUCAUUUUAAAUUAAUGAAAAUAAGAAAAAUGACUAACCUAGGUUUUGUUGAAGGUUGUAGAUCGUAGAUCGGAUGCCGGUGAGAGAUGGAGCCGCCGCCGACGAGGGUUGAUGUCGCCGCCGAUGAUGGGAGUUGGAUCGGUUUGGGAGAGAUGAGUGAAAAAGGGAGUGUUGGGGAAGAGAUGAGGGAUGGGUAUUUUGGUCUCAAAUGUUGUUUUAUGGCUAAUGUUGAUAGAAAUAUUUUUGGGGGGUUAAGAUGAAAAAAAACAAAUUUGUUUUGGUUAUUACUGUAAAUUUCCCAUUCCCUUUCAUGCUCUUAAUAAUUGAAGAGCAUACUUUUCAUUUUCAAAUGUGGAGCCGCAUCUAAUGUCGCUAAUUUAAUUUGGGAUUAAAUUAGGGGACCAUUAUAUUGCAGUGUGUACUAAUUUUUGUGUUUAUCUAAACUCCUUAAGUUUAAGACAUAUUAUGGCAUAAAUAAGAAUAUAACAAUAACAAAAGAGAUGCCGGAGCAGAUCAGCAGGGUUUGAAUAUGACCUUUGGCGGUUGCUUUUUUUUUGUGAUUUUUUUCAUUUUUUCCUUCCUGUCAUUUUAUCAUUUAUUUGGCUCUGUUUCUAUUGCGGGUGUUACUGCAUGCUUACUGUUGCUUGACAAAGUUUGCUAGCUUUUUGUUUGCAGUGCUGCUAUUCACCCCGAGUCAAGCUCCGAAAAUUUAUUAAACAACGCCGUUUCGAUAGUAACAAUUUUUUUCUUUUCCCUUUGUCUGUCUCUUUCAUCUGCUGUUUCUCUAUCACUUUUCAUUUUUUAUUUCCUUACUUCCCAGCUGCCCCUAAAUUGUUAUUCUAGCAAUAUACUUUCUCAUCUUUGAAUUUUCAUCCUUGAGUACUCCCACAGCCGUAAUUUCAUCAUUAUAGACUUCACUUGGAAUGCUGUAUUUUUUCGAUUCUUAAGCUACUUCAAUUACAUCUCCCAGUAUAGGAUCCUCAUCUUCCUUUAUUUCUUCAUCUUAUGAGGUAACAAAUGGAUUUCACAACUCAUCUACUUUUAAGCAAUUACAUAUUAUACCUUGAAUGAUUCAACUGUUCCGACAGUUAAAGAUUUUAUGCUCAACCUGCAGUGCUACGAACAUUGUCCAUGAAAGAUGAGUUUCAGCAUAUAAAAUGAAAUAUAGAUGUUUAAUCUAAAAUAACCCUUCACUGCCAAGAAACCUAGGUCACAAAAUUCACAGAUAAUGAUAAAGAGCUAAAAAAUUUGAAAAACUCUACAGAUCACACAUCAAGCAAGAUAUCAUGUUUUUUUCCCUCAUUCGGUGGUGAUUGAUUCGCUUUUUGAUGAUGGAUAUGGUAUAAAAGUUUUGACCCAAUUUCAAGCAAACACAAAUAGAAACACAAAUAGAAACACAAACACAAUCAGGACUAGAGUUGUGGGCGAUUAUCUUAGGUGUACAAGUGAAACGGUGGUGGCUGUCGAUGGUGGUAGUGGGGUGGUUGGGUAUGCGUGAUGGCUAGAUUUUAGGACAAUAAUGGUUGGAGUUGACCUCGAUCAACGAAGGAAAGUGACAACAAUUUUGACAUCAAACGGUGCAUUUUUUAGCUUAGUAAAAUGGAGCCGUUUCGAAUUUGGGGUUUAAUCCGGGGUUUGACUCGGCGCAAGUAUCAUUUUCCUUUUGUUUAUUAAAUUUUUUAUGGUCACAAAGUAUUACUCGUUCUAUUUGAGAGUGAUGUGAAUCAAUUUUUCAAUUUUAUAUUUUGUGGUCAAUGUGAAUUUAAUUUCAUUUGUCUCCUGCAAUUAUGAAAAAAUUGCAGUCAUAAUAUGGAAAAGUACACCGGCAAAAACUUUGUAAAAGCUUCGGAGUGAUACGGGGAAUUUACUUACUACUGAGGACAAUUGGUGGCAAAGCUAUUCCAUUCAUUUUAUGUCCAUCCAUCUAUUUAGCUAUUGAAGAUUAGUGGUCCAUUUGUAAAUUUCAGAUUGUCUCUCUCUCUCUCUCCCACUUGAAAUAACAAUAUUUAAUAUAUCUCUUAAAUUAUUAUAAAUUUUAAUUUACUCUCGAUUUAAAAUGGAGCAUGUCGAUAAAAAAUUUUUCUUCUUAAUAAAAUUGACGUAAGUUGUGUGUUACAGUAGUUUGAAGUUUGAAAUAUUUUAAAGAUUAUUAUUCUAUAAGGGAGUAAUAUGAAAUGAUAUUUACUUUUCAUGUGUGAAAUGAAAAAGGACGAAGCAAGUGUCCCUGCUUUUAUUUUAUUUCAAGGAGGAGUCAUCUCACAUACUUUAGCUCUUAACAUUACAUUUUUUCUGGUUACAUUUUUUAUUUAUUUAUUUUUUUUUUUUUACACAUGCGUGUGGGUUGCUUUUCUGUAAGCUCCUUAAUAUAUAUUUAAGACAAAUCAUGGAAGAGAUGGGAUUAUAUCAAGAUGAUCAAAGCAUGUAAAAAAAGAAAAAAGAAAAAAAAAAAUUAAGAAGUAAGACACUGAAAAUGGAGAAGAGAUGGAAGCAAAAGAUAUUCCAAAACAAAGCAAUCUAUCCCCUUUCGAGGGCAGACUUAUCAGGUUUAAAAAAGUACAUGCUUUGGAUUGGUAGUUGCAAUCAAGGGAAAAUAAAUAGGAUCCAAUGAAAUUUAAAUCUCGGAGAAAAUAAAUAAUCAUGCAGAUUUUCAAGAUUUUAAUAAGGGAUACUAAUAUCUUAUUUUGAUUAAUAACAUUCUUUUAUUGUGUUAACUCAAAAAAAAUAUUAUAAUGCUUUACAAUAAAUACAAAUGUCCUAUUAAAUGAAUAUAUAAAAAAUUUAGAAAAUUUAGAAUAUUAUAUAAAAUAAUUUUAAUAUAAUGCGUGAGAUAUAUUUUAUUAAUUUAAAAUGUCAUUUUACCUAAAAAAUAUGAUAAAUUAAUAAUUACAUAUUUGAAGUUAUUUCAAAUAUUACUUAAUUGUUUUUACUUUAAACAUUACCGGCCUUUCUUUUAUUUUAUUGCAAAUUAAUGCUAACAAGAAAAAGCUAGAUCAUAUUCCACAAAAGCAAAAGUGACAAACACAACCAGCUGGAAUCUUUUAUAAAACUACAAAUUAAAAUGGAGUUUUUUUAAAAAAAUUGUUAUAAAUUGGUGGCCCCUACAAUCCUCAAUAAUUGCACCGAUAUUCACAAGUUGGUGGCCCCUACAAUUCUGUUCCGAUAAUAAUUGUUUUUAUUUUUCUGCAUUCCCUUUCAUGCUCUUAAUAAUUGAAGAGCAUACUUUUCAAAUGUGGAGCCACAGCUAAUGUCGCUAAUUUAAUUUGGGAUUAAAUUAGGGGACCAUUAUAUUACAGUGUGCACUAAUUUUUGUGUUUAUCUAAACUCCUUAAAUUUAAGAUAUAUUAUGGCAUAAAUAAGAAUAUAACAAUAACAAAAGAGUAAAAAAGUGUAGAGAAGAUCUUGCAGAAAUAUAAAUAAUAUCUAUUUUAAAAUAAUUUUUAAUAUUUUAUGAUCCAUUAGAUAUAUUUAUUAUAUUAAAGUAAAUUUUAUAAUAAAUAAAAACAUACUAUUAAAAUGAAUAUAUAGAAAAUUUAGAGUAUUUUAAAUAUUAUAUAAAAAAUUUUUAAUAAAAUAUGUGAGAUAUUCAUAUUUUAUUAAUUUAAAAUACCAUUUAACCUAAAGAUUUAUUUAUGAUAAAUUAAUAAUUAUAUUUUUGAAAUUACUUCAAAUAUUAAAAAAUUAAUAUUACUAAUCUGUUAGAUAGAUUAAAUUAUAUAUAUUAUUUUCUAUUUAUUAAAAAAUUAAAAUUAUUUUUAAUUACUAUUCAAAAAAUAUAAUGAAAAAACAUAAUGAUAAAAAAAUCUUAACAUCUUUAUUAAAAAAUUAAAAACUUAUAUGAUAAAUUCUCUAAAUAUUUACGGUAUAUGUGAACCACGGUGGAUAAGCUUUAUUUAAUAUUAUUGAUUUAAAUAAUAUGUCAAUUAAAAAUGUACAGAGAAGAAAUUUCGGUGGGUAUUUUAGUCUUUUAAGCAAUUAUCAUGAUCAGAUCAGCCUUUAGCCUUCAAACGUCGGUCAGAAAAGUUUUAAAAUUAAUGCUAAAUUGUUUUUCACUUUUAACGUUGGUGGCCUUGAAAUUGCUUGUAUUUUAUUAAAAAUUAAUGCUAACAAGAAAAAGCUAGGUCAUAUUCCACAAAAUCAAAAGUGACAAAACAACCAGCUGGUUUCUUUUACUAAACUACAAAUUAAAAUAAAUUUUUUCGAUAAAUUACAAAUUAAAGUGGAUUCUUUUGAAUACAAAUGGGACAGACGAUUAGGCUCUUUUUAUUAGAGGCAAGUAAAAACUAGUCAAGAAUCGAACAGUCUUUUUCCAAUUCUUGUUUUAUUAUUUUUCAAAACUAGUUUUUGGUAAUUACAACCGGGUCAUUAAUCAUUAUUCAGAGUUACUGUUAUCUUCGGGGGCAGUGGGUAAAAGAUAAUUACUAACUGUUUUUCCUUCAAAAGUUAGCGGCUCAUGUUUGCAAGUGUGAAUGUGCGAUGCUCUUUUCUUAAAGGCCAUUACAGUGGGGCCCGAAUCAGACGUGCCUAAAUCUUUUUAAAAUUUUUGCCGUAUAACGAACAGAGGUCAUUACUAAAAUUUCUCUUCCACAGCCUACAGCAGCUUCAGUUUAUCAAACUCCAUCAAUUUUCUUUCUUAACAAAAUUCCAAAGAUGUGUAGCAUUUUUCAGAUCACAUGCGAUGGUGCUCUUUUCAAUCGUUGCUUGGAUUGCUUUCUUGGAAAAGCAGCAUACAUACGUAACCUCCAAGAUAAUCUUGUAGCCUUGGAGACUGAACUGGGAAGACUAAUCGCAGCAAAGAACGAUGUGAUGAUGAGGGUUGUCAAUGCUGAACGGCAACAAAUGAGAAGGCUGGACGGAGUGCAAGUGUGGGUUUCGAGGGUGGAUUCUGUUAAAACUGGAGCCGACGAACUUAUCACAGACGGCUCUGAAGAAAUUGGCAAAUUAUGUGUUGGAGGCUACUGUUCCAAGAACUGCAGGUCAAGCUACAAAUCGAAAACAAGUGGCUAGAAAGCUACGACAUGUGAAGACUUUAAUCGCCGAGGGAGUUUUUGAGGCGGUGGCCACUGAGGUGGUGCCCGAGAGAGCUCCGGAACCUGUAGCAGAUAAAAGACCCACUGAGCCAACAAUAGUAGGCUUGCAAUCACAGCUUGAACAAGUUUGGAGAUGUCUUGUAGAAGAAUCAGUGGGAAUCAUUGGCCUAUAUGGUAUGGGCGGUGUUGGUAAAACCACACUAUUGACCCAUAUCAACAAUAAAUUUCUUGAGAGUCCCACAAACUUUGAUUGUGUGAUUUGGGUCGUAGUUUCAAAAGACCUGCGACUUGAAAAAAUUCAAGAAGAUAUUGGGAAGAAGAUAGGUCUGUCUGAUGAUUCAUGGAAGAAUAAAAGUUUUGAAGAGAAAGCUGUGGACAUCCUGCCGAGAUUAGGAGAGAAGAGAUUUGUAUUGUUGUUAGAUGAUUUAUGGGAGCGGGUUGAUUUAACAGAAGUGGGCGUUCCACUUCCCAGCGCACAAAAUACUACCUCAAAAGUCGUAUUCACAACCCGUUCCAUUGGUGUUUGUGGCAGCAUGAGAGCUAGGCCGGUUAAAGUGGCAUGCCUAUCAGAAAAGCAAGCUUGGGAACUGUUCCGCGAAAAUGUUGGGGAAGAAACUCUUGAGAGUGAUCAUGAGAUCGUUGAGCUAGCCCAAACUGUGGCCAAAGAGUGUGAUGGUUUGCCACUCGCACUUAUUACUAUUGGUCGAGCUAUGGCCUACAGAAAGACAGCCGAGGAGUGGAGUCAUGCAAUUGAUGUGCUAAGAACAUCAGCUUCUGAGUUUGCAGGUUUGGGAGAGAAGGUGUAUCGUCUUUUAAAGUUUAGCUAUGAUAGUUUGCAGAAUGAUACGGUUAGAUCUUGUUUCUUGUACUGUUGUUUAUAUCCUGAAGAUUAUGGCAUUCUUAAAUGGGACUUGAUUGAUUGUUGGUUUGGCGAGGGAUUUUUUGGGGAAUCUGACAGGUCUGGUGCAGAAAACCAAGGAUAUGACAUUUUGGACACUCUUGUUCGUGCAUGUUUAUUAGAAGCGGUGGAAGAUGGUGAAGUAAAAAUGCAUGACGUUAUUCGUGAUAUGGCUAUAUGGAUAACUUGUGAAAUUGAGAAGGAGAAGAGAAACUUUUUGGUUCGUGCAGGUGCUGGAUUAAAAGAGGCACCGGAUGUUAAAGGAUGGGAAAAUGUGAGAAGAUUGUCAUUGAUGCAAAACCAAAUUGAAACUGUGUCAGAGGUUCCCACAUGCCCUCAUCUCCUCACUUUAUUUCUUGACUUUAAUCAGGAGUUGGAGAUGAUCGCGGAUGGCUUCUUCCAACUUAUGCCUUCUCUCAAAGUUUUGAAGAUGUCAAACUGUGGACAGAGGAGGUUGAAAUUACCUGUUGGGAUGUCAGUGUUGGGUUCAUCACUAGAACUUCUCGAUAUUUCAUGUACUGGCAUAACAGAGUUACCAGAGGAGUUAAAGAAGUUGGUAAAUCUGAAAUGUUUGAAUUUGAGGUGGACAGGUGCGUUAAUUAGAAUUCCACGGCAACUAAUAUCAAAAUUUUCAAGGUUACGUGUGUUGAGAAUGUUCGCUAUUGGCUAUGAUCGUUUUCAUGAAGCACCAGAAGACAGCGUUUUAUUUGGUGGGGGUGAAGUUUUGAUACAGGAAUUGCUCGGUUUGAAAUAUUUAGAGGUAUUGGAGUUGAGCUUGGGAAGUUAUCAUGCUCUCCAAAUUCUUUUGAGCUCAAAUAAGUUAAAAAGUUGUAUUCGAUCUCUUUGCCUCGAGUUCGCCGGAGAUACAGCGUCAAUUAUUGAUGCUACGGCUUUCGCAGAUCUAAACUACCUCAAUGAAUUAAAUAUUUAUAGUGGUUUUGAGUUGGAAGAGUUGAAGAUUGAUUAUACAGAGAUAGUACGAAAAAGGCGGGAACCUUUUGUUUUCCGCAACCUUCACCGUGUUACUAUACAUAGCUGCCAGAAGUUGAAAGAUUUGACAUUCCUCGUUUUUGCUCCAAACCUCAAGUCUGUUCAGCUACUCGAUUGCUAUGCUAUGGAAGAAAUAAUCAGCGUCGGAAAAUUUGCUGAGACUCCUGAGAUGAUGGGACAUAUAAGCCCUUUUGAAAAUCUCCAAAUGCUUGAUUUAGAAGAUUUGCCACAUUUGAAGAGCAUCUUCUGGAAGCCAUUGCCUUUCACUCAUCUGAAAGAAAUGGCGGUAAGUGGGUGUGAUCAGCUUGAAAAGCUUCCACUCGAUUCCAACAGUGCAAAGGAGCGUAAAUUUGUAAUUCGUGGAGAAGAAGACUGGUGGAACCGACUUCAAUGGGAGGAUGAAGCCACUCAAAUUGCUUUUCGUUCCUGUUUCCAACCUUAUUCCUGAGCGGUGGUCGCAAAUUUUGAUUCUCUGUUUUUAUUUCUGGUUAGUUUCUCUCUCUCUCUUUCUCUCUCGCUCUCUCUCUUUUUGUCUUCUGCAAAUCACAAUUAAAUGUUGAAUUAAUGGAAUUAAUGCUUCAUAAAUUUGCCGGCACAGCCACUACUUUUUUUUGGGGGGGGGGGGGGGGGGGGUCGAAUUGGUGCUCUGGUUUUUGACUUUUUGUUAGCGAUUUAAUUUCCUGUCAAAAGACGAGCGAGAAGAACAUAUAUAUGACGUAAACCAAUUGAUACUUUAUUUAUGUGCAUUGUAUGUAAUAAAUAUUAAGUAUACUUUAUUUUUGCCCUGUUCUCUGUUUUUAUUUCAGUCUCUCUCUCUCUCUCUCUGCUGUCUCCUGUCUCCUGCAAAUCACAAUUAAAUGUUGAAUUAUAUGGAAUUAAUCCUUCAUAAAUCUGCCUGCGCUGGCUUUUUUUUUUUUUUUGUGGGGGUCGAAUUGAUGCUCUGGUUUUCGACUACUUUUUGUUGUCAAAAUUUUCUCUGUUUUUUCAAAUUGAUGCUUUAUUGAUAUCUUCUUCGUGAAAAGUGAUUUAAUUUCCUGCCAAAAGACGAACGAGAAGAACAUUAGAGUCAAACUAAUGCUCACAUAAAUUUCCCGUAAGAAUAUAUAAUUAUUAAGAUAGAUCUGCUCUUUCAUUAAAUAUAUAUUCCUUUUUCACAUAUUAAUUGACCUUUAUUUAAUUUGUUUAAAAAGUUUAAUUAAUUGUUGUUUGCAGAGAAUCAUCUACGCCGCUCGCCGAUAAAAGUUGAGGUGUUCGAGCAGGUGCUUGCCUUUUUUUUUUUCUUUUUCUUUUUUCCCUGUUUUAAUAUUUCUUUAAAUUUUGAAAUUGUUUAAUUAUUCUUCUGGUUUGGAAUGUUGAUAAUAGUGUUGUGAAAUUAAUUUUUACAGGAUAAAAGGUUGUGGGACAUUUAUUAUCCAUGUCCUAUGUAUCUCAAGCUUAAAGGUCUCAGUGGUCCUCUAUUGGAAAAAGCAAGUUUAAUAUAUAUUAAUUGGAUAUCGUCGCCUGUAUAUAUAUGUAUAUACAUACAUACACAGCCACUCAUCGAUUAUAGACUUAAUUAUUUAAUUGAUUAUGUAAUCUCUCGUAGUUUCUUUGUGCAUUUUUAGUUAAUUUAAUGAAUAAACUCAAAUACAUUGUAAAUAAAACCAAAUUAAAUGUUCCCUAAAAUAUACGUAUAUGCCUCUCGAUGGCACACAAGGUUAAAUGUCAGCCCAUCGCGGGUAAUAUUAUUUCUAGCCGCCUUCAUUACGAGUUAAGAGUCAAUUAUUACUAAACUAAACUAGUCAAAACUCGUAAGUGCUAGAAAGUAGAAACGUUUGAUUCUAUAUAAAUGACUUCAAUUCAAUAUGUACCAAAGAGUAUCGAUAAUUGAACCCCAAAAAACUUUAAAAAAGAUUGACAAAAUUAAUUAUAUUAUUGUGUGUUUUUAGAAGAAAAAAUAAAAUAAUUAAUUAAUGUUAUAACACUAUGUUAGGUGAAAAGUCAGCUGUCUGGAAGAGAACAAACUUACUAAGAUAAGAGCCUUCUUCAGUAAUCAACCGAACGAAAAAGUCAUCUCUUUUCUUAUUUAUUUAGUAAAAAUAAGUAAAGGCCGAAAAUUUCCUAAAAUAUCUAAAUCCCUCUCUUUAAAAGAACACCAUAUGCUGCAUAACAUGCAAAUUAAUUUCCCAUAUGUGAUGCAAUUUUCUCCUCAACAUAUGCGCAAUUCUUUCCAUUCCGGCAUUUACACUCAAAUUUUCCUUCCUUUCUCUUUGUGGUUGAAUCUUACACCACAACUCAUGUGAUGCAAUCUCCUCUCGCUGCCUAAAUUGCACUCUCAGCAAAGCAGCAUAUGUAAGCAAGCUUGAAGAUAAUCUUGCUGCUCUGCGGAAGAACGGCAAAAGUUAAUCGAAGCAAGGACUGAUGUAUCAGAAAAAUUUUGGUGGAGAAUUCAGCACAAACAUAUUUCGGAUGAUCAGAAUCAAUAAAACAUGGUGGUUGCGCCAUAUAAACAUCUUCGGAAAGCUGGCCUUGAAGAAAGGCGUUUAUUGAUAUCCAAUUGACGAAGAGGCCAGCCAUGACUAACAUCAAUACUAAGAACAAGCCGUACUGUGGUGGGCUUAACAACUGGACUGAAAGUGUCAUAAUAGUCCACACCAGGCCGUUGAUUGAACCCUUUGGCAAUAAGACGAGCUUUGAACCUGUCAACAGAACCGUUGGAAUGUCUUUUAAUACAAAAAUCCAUUUGCAGCCAACAAUAUUGGAAAGGAUGGGAGGUGGAACAAGCUUCCAUGUCCCGUUAAGAACAAGAGCAUCAUACUCUUCUGACAUAGAUUGACGCCAGUGAGGAUUUUUGAUAGCUUGCGUCACAGUUGUAGGUUCACAAUCAGAAGGAGGGCUAAAAUGAGCACAGAGGUUAAGUUUUUGUAACGGCUUGUGAAUGUUAUUUUUAGCUCCGGUAGUCAUAUCAUGAUGAUUUGUGGGGCAACGAUCUAGUGGAGUUUGGGAAGAUGAUUGAACAGGAAGUGAAGAAGUGCUUUGUGUAGAGGUAGAAAUAGGUUGGGAGGAUUGCUGCGGAGAUGUUACCGGUAGAGAAGAAGGAGCAGUACACGGUGGCAACUCCAAAGGGCCCACAAUAGAUGGAGUAGGUGCCGACGAUGGAGUACUAGGAAAUGAAACAGUAAGAAUUGGUGGAACACUUGCGUAAUUAGGAGUUGUAGAUGAGCUUGUAAUGAUUUGUAUGGAAAAACAAACUCUACAAAUUUAACGUGACGUGAAAUAAAAAUUUGAAAGGUGGAUGGGUCAAAACAUAAAUAAGCACUUUGAGAUAAAGGAAUAUCCUAGAAAAACACAAGGCUUAGAGGGUGGUUCGAGUUUAUGUGAUGAAACACAAACAUUCAAAAUUUUUUAAGUUUAUAUUAAUUAGGAGUGGUACCAAAAAUUAAUUGGCUAUCGGGUUGUUGGAUGUGUUUUGGAUAUUUACAGCUAAGUUUGAGUAUCUCAACUUAAAAUUUGUAGCUUUCACUUGAAAAAAUUCAGUUAAAAUUUGCAAUGCAGACUGAUUGAUUUAUCAGUUUAACGUGUGCCAGGAAUGAAGAACUGGAAUAUCACCGUCAAGCAAGCACCCUGUGGAGCAAUACCAAACAAUGUACAAUCCGGCUUUGCUAGGUGACACUGGAGGCUUUUUGAAAAGUGCUUCACGCUCACUUGCACAGAUUGAGCAUCCCCUCUGGAUAUUGCCCUCUCUGAUCGAGUCUGAGCACUCAAAUUUUGGUCCUCAGAGGGAGCUACAGUUUUCUCUCCACUAACCAACAAUUUUCUAAACUCAGCACCUAGUGUGAUCUUGAGCCAUAUCUAAAGCAGUUUGAAGUUCAAGUACUUGAGCCCUUGACAAUGGUUUUAAAAUUGGAACAUCUUGGAUUACUGCAGACUUGUACCCCUUGGUUUCAAAGUAAGGAAAGGUAUUGCUUGAGUACAAUUUGGAGGCAGCUUCUUCACCAAUUUUAUUUGGAGGCGAUUGGCAGCGGAUCCAGCUGCACGAAGACUAAACAAGUCAGAUGCAGUUUAUUUGUCCAAGCACAAAUUGCAUUUUGUCCUCAACUUUAAUAUUUAUUGAUGAGAAUCAAUACAGGUCCCUCAUUUGUUAUAGAAAGCUUUAUUGUAGUCUCACCAGUUAAUUCACAGGUCUAUAAUCAUCUUGCAAAGUUAAGGGCAUUUCUUUCGAUCUAAAGUCUUUGCAUCACCACCUCAUCACACGCCAAGCCAAUAUUCCAUUUACCUCUGCAACAAAAAGUUUUAAGUAAACAAUCCUAAUGCACGCAGCCAAAUAAAAUGCAGUAAGAAUAUUCAACUUAAAAAUCUGAAAGCCAACUUGGUGAAUUGCCUCCUUAGGUGAAGUUCCAUGCUUUACUAUAGUUGACAGAACUCAGCAAAAGCUUCCAUACAACAGAUUUUGAAAAUGAUGAUGCCAAUAGAUACUCAUUCAAUCCAUUGAAAAUCCAAAGGUUCAUUGUUAAUAGAAGUUUACAGAGUUUUGGUCAUCAAAUAGCUCAGACCUAAUCCCAAACAAAAAACGAGUGAAAAUUAGAUCACGAGCAGCUAAUUGUAAAUUCUAACUUAACUCUUCAUCUCCUUUGUAAACAAGAAACAAAAUGGAGACACGCAAAAUGAAUAUGGAGAAAAUUUGAACUCAAAUGAAAUGAGGGCACGAAAGCAAACAAAUGGCAUGCACAAAAAAACCAAGCCUCAAUCAAAAACUAAUUAACCAUUAAGAAAAAAAUUGGUCAGAGAAUGAACUCCAAAUUCAGGAGUCAAGCAAGAAGCUUUCAUCAUUUCAGAAGCUCCUGUACAAAAAAACCAAGCCUCAAUCAAAAGCUUUCAUUAAUAAGUUAUGCUCUUUGGAAGCAAACCUAAAUUCCAAGAGAAACAGAAGCCAAAAAAUUUGCAAUUAUACGCAAAGGAAGUGAAGCACAGGAUUCUAUCACACAUAGGAAUUGUAUAACAAGAGAUCGAUAUAUCGAAUUAGAAAACUCAAUUCGAAUUUGUGUGAAAAAUCAAAAUUAGAAGAUUUCACAUUUCGAGAGGAACAAGCAACAGAUGACGUUCAAAAUUUCAGCCAUAACAUGCUAAAAAUGCUACACUUAACGGUUCAUUUUCAUGGAUUUUCUCGGGAAACAAACAGAAAAUUACGGUUCAGAGAGUUGACUGACCUUUUGGCUUUUGAAAUUGAGAAGAUCGCGCGCCAAAUUGGAAGAGGGAAAGUGAAAGUGCGAGUUUUAAUAUGGGUAGAUAAGGAAAUUUUAUUAGGUUGCGAGGGUAAAAAAGGAAAGAGAUAUCAUUAUUUUAUCAUCGAUAAUUAUUAAAUUUUUUUCCAAAAAAAAGAACAAGCAAGGAUAUUUUAUUGUCAUUACUAAGUUAAAAAAAAUUGUUUCAAAAUUACUUGAGUCAUAUCCAAUGGACCAACAAAGUAAUCGUUUUUAUUUUUAUUGAUUUUUGCAGGAAAUUAAUAACUUAAAAAUACUGAAAGCUAUUGUAAAAAUUUUUAUUAUCAACCUCAUAGUUUUUUUUUUUUGGGGGAAGAGAAUUCAAACAUUUUUUUUUUAAAUUUCCAAGAAUUCUUGACACCCGUCUUAAUUAAAAGCUAUAUUUUUAUUCAAGAGUCAUGCUAUUCAUUCACUCACAGACCAAAGGCUUUCCGCAGCAAUAUUAUUAUUUAAAUUACAACAAAGGGGAAAUCAAAUACGUCAUACAGAAGCUUAAAGCUGAAUCAACAAAAUCUAGAGCUCUCAACUACAAAAAUUACACUUGAUGAUCCUCUACAAGAUGAAGCUUGUUCAAUAUCUUAUCCAAAGCUUGUAAAGUAACCUUGUAACGAUCUUGAGAUUGCCUGCCUUCCUCGACGACCUGCACGAUGCGUUUGUACAAAUCAUCAUACCUGUGCACCGGAUUUUUAAUAUCAACGCCACUGCAGCUGUGAUUAAGAAAAUAAGAGCGUUUAACAUCUUUUCUCCAUCGAGAAAGAAUGUACUGAGAUGGGAUCUCCUGCACGCCACUCUGGUUUAGAACACAAAGAAUGUGUCUGCAUAAAUAUCCUCUGAAAUUGAACAACCCACAAACGCAAAGCACCUCCAAGUUGGAGGCAUUGUACAAAACAUCGAAAGCCCUUGAGUCUUUCUCAUUGCUACCAACCUCGAAUUCUUCCUUCACUAUGUAUGUUAUAGGUCCAUCAGCACUAACAUGUUUUGUGCUAUAGCAAGAGUACAUAGCCUCCACCUCCGUCUGAAACUUCCUUAACAUUUCAUUUGUGUACAGUUUUGAGAGUUGAAAUUCAUAGUAACAUCUUGGUUUCUGGAUACAACUUGAAUUUCUUGAAUCCAUAUCUGCCAAGGCUUCCAGUUGAUAAUUCGCCCGCAGUGCUUGAUCAUACUUGUCUAAGAAUUCUUUCAAAGGAGUAUUCUUAUCAAGAUAUCCUUCAAAGUAUGAAGUAGAAACCUCAUUCUGCGGGAACGAAAACACUCCUGAUAAAAAAGCUUCCUUCAAAUAAAUAGGAGCCCACCUUUUACGAUCUUCAUAUAAAGUUUGAAUCCAUCCGUGAUCCUUUAUUCCAUGACGUUGAAUCAUGUCUUUCCAAGCUGCUUCAAAUUUCUCAGGCCUGAGAGAGUGAUAAAUUGCUCUAUGUAAUGCAGCUUUAAUAGCUUCAUAUUCAAACAAUCCUUGGAGUUUCACUGGAAUUUUUUGCAUGAUGCAUGACAAUGAAAAGCAACGAUAAGCUCUUGGGAAAACAUCGCCAACAGCAAUUUGCAAGAUUCUACAUUGGUCAGUGAUGAUUGUUUGUGGAGAGCGCCCUAACAUACAUGUAAGCCACGCCCUAAACAACCAUGUAUAUGAUUCUAUGGUCUCACUGGCAAGUAAACCACAACCCAACAACACUGAUUGUCCAUAAUGAUUCACCCCAAUGAAUGAAACCAGUGGUACAUCAUAUCUUUCAAUCAAGCACGUAGUAUCAAUUAAGACUACAUCACCAAAGUACCUAUAUGCAACUCUUGACCUGGUAUCAGUCCAGAACAGGUUUCUCAAGCAUCCCUUUUCAUUUAGAUCCACUACAUUAAAAAAGUUUGGAUCUGUCAACUGCAAACGACAAAAGAAACUCUGGACAGCUUGUGCAUCACCUGGUUUAAGCUUCAAUUGAUUUGAGCUAUUAACAUUAUUUCCAAAUACUCCAUUAACAUCUACAUUACCAUUUCCCUAGGCAUCAAUGAUAAGAGUUCGAAACAGUUUAAUUUUUUGAACUUCUUCAGCACUAUCUAAAUGCAAUGUUCUUUUGGUUCCAAUACCUAUGUGCUUAUGUGACUUGCAAAACUUUCCACUUCUUGGGCUUAACAAGUGGUUAUGCUCAAGCUCGACUUCAAUGAUUCUCCACCUUUUGGUUUCCAUCAACCUAAACUUUAUCAUUGCUGGACAGCCAGCUCUUGUUUCUGGUCUUGGACGGUUUGCCUCACUUUUCUUCUUGAAGCUUGCACUACUACAGCUCAGCUUUCCUCUAUACUUUUCUCUACUCUUUCAGUACCAGGUAUUGCUAACUCUAACACCAAAACCCUGUUCCUUGGCAUAGCAAUUGUAAAAGUAAUAUACAUCAUCGUACAUCUCAAACUCCAUUCCAACAGCAGGAGGCAAGGGAUUUUGGAUUAUCCCAGUUUGUCCAACAUAUUCAGUCAUCGCACAAUCUCCUACGACCUCAAAAUCAUCAGUGUCAUCAUCACCUAUUGGUUCGGUGUUGAGAGAAACUUCAUCCAUCUACAAUGGAUGUUCAAUGAAGUGAGCUUUAAGGAGAAAAAGCAAAAUCAGUUCAAGGAAUCAUAGUAUAAUCAUACAGUUACUUUCACAAAGCUUCAUAUUUCAUCACUGCUUUACCAACAUGCAACUGCCAGAGAACAAACAGACAUGUCAUAGACGCUUGAAUUAAGUAUUGGUACAAAUGAGCACACAUCAUGUGGGACAAAAUUUCAGUCACUAAACCCAAUACCACUUUUUACAUCAUACCAAGGAACAGAUUAAACCCGACACCUUCUUUUAAACCAUACCAAGGAACAGAUUAAAUCAUCAAUGAAAAAUUAAUCACAUAAUAACUUAACCAGACAAAUGAAGAGCCUGAAACAGCACAAAACUUGAAUCUGAUUAUGAUAAUUGUUGAGUCCUUGUAUCUACAGCUUUCCUUCAAUGAUAAGACAAUGAACAUAAACGAGACACAAAAAAUUUAUUUUAAACUGACAGCCCAUGAUAUAAAUCAAACAAAAUCAACUCCUUUUUUUACACAUCACAUCUCAUAUUCAUUUACAUUGAAACACAAAAAGGAAGCGGGAGUGGGAAAAAAACAACAGCAGAGGAACUUAUUUCCAUAAGGUUUACGAAAUAAGGAAUCUAUUAAAACCCAAAACUUGAGGUCACCACAAAGAAUUUGGUUCUCAUUAUUUUUUUCUUCAUUUUUCACCAAUUGAUGAACUUAAAAUACAAUCAUAAAUGAUAAAACCCCAUCUCAAUCUUUUUGAACUAGAGCUAAAGCAAAGCAUUUUAAGAUGUUUCAUCAUUUUUUUUUUAAAAAAAACCUCAAUAGUACAAUGUUUUUACUCUAAUAAUCUCUUAAUUAAGGAAGAUUAAGCUUCAGUUGUAAGCUAAAACAAAUUUCUUAAAUCAAGCCCCAAUGCUUUAUGCUAUUCAACAAGGGCUCAUAAAUGAUAAAACUACUUCUACAAAGAUACCCAUUUUCUAAAUUAAUUUCAAAAACUGAAAUCAAACUCCUGAAACGUAACGAGCAUUAAUAUAAUCAAACCCGAACAAGAAUUGAAAAAUGACACAUAAACUCGUUUACACAUUUCGACAGACACUUUGCAAUCAAUGAGCAAAAAAUUAAUGGAGAAGAUAAAAUUCAAACGAAACAUGCCUUACAUUGAUCAAUUAGAAGGGCAAAAGAAAUUUUAGUACGAUAUGGGAUCAGGGUCUUGCCACGGUGAUGUUAUUUGUGAUGUUCGAGCGACUCAGCGGCCUUCGAGGUUGAAAAUUUGAUUGACCAAAAGCUUCCCGUUUGUUGAUUCUCUAAUAGCAGAAACGAGACUGGCAGUAAACACAACAACUUCGCUGAUUUUAAAUUCCGUUGUUUGAGAUGGAAAACUUUUUGAAAAAAUUAAUGUGUUCGAUGAAUAUCAAAAUCUAAAAAACUUUUUGUUUUUCAUUUUUUUGGAAAAAACCAUUGAGAUCCUUACUAUUUUUUCUUAUAUCAUCUUGCUUAAUAAUUUGCAAAGUCUAUCGCAUAGCACCCAUGCAUGAUGUAUGCUGCGUAACUGCGUUGUAAUUUACAAAAUUGUAAAUUUGUUAAAAGAAAAUAAUAAUAACAAGUUAAAACUUUAAAAUUUUUAUCAUUCGAAGAAAUUUUAAUUUAGUUAAGUAGGUGACAUGAUAAUAAAUAGAUACGUAUAAUGUCCGAGAUUUUUUAUAAGAUUAAUAAAUAUGAUAAAUUUGGAUUAGUUCAAUUUUGACGUAAUUCAGAAUAAACACAUCUUCCUAAUCUAAAAAUAAUUACAAACAAUUUAAUUUGUGUUGUUUCUCUAAAAGUUUGAGACACAAAUGUUAUUGCAAAUUGAAACGCCAUGCACUAGUAGAAGGUAAGAGAAACCAAGGUUGAAGUUACUGUUCAUUUAUUUUUAUUUAUGAUUUUUUGUAAAAUGUAAGAAAUAUGUAGAAAUGUUGCCAGCAAUGAUUUUGGAACUUUGCAUAAAAUUUUUAUCAUUAUUGUUUUUGGUAUUAAGAAAUCCGAGGCGGUGAUUAGUCGUAUGUUGCAACAAUUAAGAAAUUUCUUAUUGGAGAUAAUUUGGUAGGUUGCAACAAUUAGAGAAUAAUUUUCCUGUCAGUUAAUCAAUCAAUAAUAAAUUUCAAAUUGCAGAAAAUAAAAUAAUACUGUCGCACUUAGAAUCAUCUUUUCUAUUUCUUUCAAUUGUGACAAUCAUUUGUAACAAAUAAAUCAAUUUGAUGCACAUCAUUUCCCCAAUUCAAAGUUCAAGUCACUGCUCAAUUGCAGGGUAGUUAGUAGACAUGCAUGCAUGUUUAAUUAAGUACUGCAUUGUAAUAUAGAAAAUCAUAACAUCUCACCAAGCCCGGAAGCAUAGCUCUUUAUCUUGUAAAUGUUGAAAUCUUAUGCAAACUAUGGGAAACAUGAUCUCACUCUCAGUGCCACUUGAUUCCAUUUUCUUUGUUGGGAAUGCUACGAAGUCUAAGCUUGAAGAUAAUCUCGAUGCCUUGCGGACUGCAAUGGAAAAAUAAGCGGAAACGAGAAAUGAUGUGAUAAAUUGUGAGCCAACAAUAGUGGGCAUGGUGUCGACUUUUGAGAAAGCCUGGAGAUGCCUUGAAGAAGAAUCAGUUGGAAUUAUUGGCCUGUAUGUUAAUGGGGGAGUUGGAAAAUAUUUACUCAAAUCAACAACAAGUUCCUUGAUGGUCCAAAUAAUUUUGAUGUUGCGAUCUGGGUAGUGGUCUGCCAAGAUUUACAACCCCAGAAGUUUCGGGAAAAGAUUGGGAAAAAGAAAGGCUUGUUCGAUGAGUCAUGGAAGAACUGAAGUUUUGAAGAGAAAGCACUCGACAUAUUCAAGAAUUUAAGCAAGACGAAGUUUGUAUUACUGCUGGAUGAUAUAUGGGAGCAGGUUGAUUUAAUUAAAAUUGGUGUCCCUCUUCCAAGCACAAAAAUUACAUUCAAGAUAGUCUUCACAACUCGUUUUAUUGACAUUUGUGGCCUCAUGGAAGCUCACAACAAGAUUAAAGUGGAGUGUUUAAAUGACGAAGAAGCAUGGGAAUUAUUCUGCAAGAAGGUUGGAGAAGAUGUGGCGACUCUGUCCAAGUGCUAAGGAGAUCAGCCUCAGAAUUUCUAGGUAUGUAAAAAUGAGUAUAUAUAUCCACUUUUGAAAUUCAGUUAUGAUAAUUUACCUAGCGAUAAAAUUAGAUCGAGUCUGUUAUACUGUAGUUUGUUUCUGGAAGACUUUCCAAUUAGCAAAACGGAAUUGAUACAUUGUUGGAUAAGCGAGGGCCUUUUGGAUGAAACUAAUAGUUCUGAGAUAUGAAAUCAAGGAUACUACAUUAUUGGUGUUCUUGUUCCUUUAUGUUUAUUGGAAGAAGAGGCUCCACUAUAUGUAAAAGUGCAUGAUGUGAUACGCGAUAUGCUUCUGUGGAUCGCAUGUGAAGUUUUUUUUUUCUUUUUGAUAGGGAUAGCAUGUGAAGUUGAGAAGGAGAAAGAGAAUUUUUUGGUUCGUGCAGGUGCAAGGAUUAACUGAAGUGCCAGACAUUUGGAAAUGGGAAGGGUUGAGAAGGGUGUCUUUCAUGAGCAACAAAACUGAGAAGUUAUCAGAAAUUCCUUCAGAUCCCCAUCUACCGACUUUGUUGCUUCAACGUAAUUAUUUAGAGAUGAUCAAUAAUGACUUCUUCCAAUCUAUGAAUUCCCUUAGAGUUUUGAACUUAUCAUGUAAUCAUUCUCUAAUUGAUAAUUUCAAAGUUAGUUUCCCUACAACAUCUUAAUUUAUCAAUGACUAACAUACGAGAGUUGCCGAAUGAGUUAAAGUUUGUAGUGAAUCUAAAGUUUUUGAAUGUGGAGUAUGCACGGUUUCUUCAUUCAAUUCCAGGGCAAGUGAUAUCCAGUUUUACGAUGUUACACGGUUUGAAGAUGUUUGGUUGUGGGAGGUCAUCUUCUGAUCAUGAGCCACACUAGAAGAUAGAGUUUUAUUUGAAGGCUGUAAACUUUUGAUUGUGGAGUUGUUUGGUUUGAGAGACAUCUAGAUGUGUUGACCAUCAUCCUAACAAGUUCCCUUGCUCUGAAAAGAUUUUUGAGCUACAACAAACUUCAAAGUCGUACUCAAUCUCUCUAUCUUAAAUGCUUUGAUUCAAAUCUUCUUGUUUUUUCCAUAAAACAUUGCCAUGAUAUGGAGGAAAUACUCAGUGUCGGAAAAUUAGGUGAAGAGAUGAUGUCAAAUCUGGAACCUCUUACAAAACUCCAAGUUCGUUGCUUGAAGAAGCUACCAAAUUUGAAGAGCGUCUACUGGAAGGCCUUGCCCUUGCCCAAUGUAUGCAUAAUUUUUGUAUCUAAAUGCCCAGAACUUAAGAAGCUGCCGCUGGAUUUUGAAAGGGCGGGCGAAGGUAAAAUUCUUAUCAAGUGAAAGGAAAAUCGAUGGAAACGACUUCAAUGGGAGGAUCAAGCAACUCAGAAUGCAUUGCUUCUGUUUUUCAAAUCUAGUGAUUGAAGGGGGCAACAUCAACAUCAUCAGCCUGGAUGGGGAGAUUCUGGAGCAGAUCAGUAGGGUUUGAAUCUACAUCAUUAACAUCAUCAGGGUCUGUAUUUCUAUUGCUGGUCUUAAUGCUUGCUUACUGUUGCUUGACAAAGUGAGCCAGUUUUUUGUUUAUUAAAUUUUGUCUUGUAGAGACAGUCACAAAGUAUGGGUUGUUCUAUGUGAGAGUGAUGUGAAUCAAUUUUUCAAUUAUAUAUUCUGUGGUCAUUGUGAAUUUUGUUUAGAGAUGCAAACUUAGAAUAUGGAAAAGUUCAUCGGCAAACAUUUUGUAAAAGCUUCCAACUGAAGUUUUCAUAAUUAAAUAAUAAAAAAAUAGGAAGUGACGAAAAAAUUAUCCUAGGUGUUACGAAAAAACAUGAGCUCCGAAAAUAUUGGAAGUGACGAAAACUUAGGGCUAGGGUUUGAGAACUCUAACCCGCCACCACUGCAAGAGGACAGGACGACUAAGAAGGCCCGGUUUCGGGCUGAGGGAAUUGAUGCUGAUAAUCCUCAUAAACCCUCUUGGAGAGAUAAGGCUAUGGAGGCAGUCACGGUGAUGGCAGGUCAGACAGGAAGGAUUGGAGAGUUGGGUUACGGCAGUGUAUGCUAGCCCUAUUCCAACAGUCCUGCGUGAAUUAUGGUAUCACCUUGCAAGUAUUGCUUCUCAAAUGUUGGAUCCGUGGUUGGUGGGCGGAGAUUUCAAUGCUAUCUUAUACGCACAUGAGAAGAAAGGGGGCUCGAACCGAAUAAGUGGCACUUGCAAUUUAUUUAAUCAUUGGUUUCAUUCUUGCAGGAUGCUUGAUCUAAAGUUCUCCGGCCCUCGCUUCACUUGGUCUAGGGGAAACCUUUCUAAACGAUUGGAUAGAGCGGUUUGCAAUAAUGGAUGGCUAAUAAAACAUGCAAAUAGUAGUGUCAUGCAUCUUCCAAAAAUUGAUUCCGAUCAUCGGCCUAUUCUAGUCAAGUUCCAGAACAUGGAUUCCAAGCAUGGGGGCCCGAGGCCAUUUCGAUUUUUGGCUGCAUGGCUCACAGAUGAGAGAUUUGGGAGUUUUAUGAAUGAUAGCUGGAAUAAGGGAGAGAAUUUUCUUGAGGCAGUGGCUGAUUUUACUCAACAAACUAGGUGGUGGAAUAAGGAAAUUUUUGAAAAUAUUAUUUAUCGGAAGCGGAAAUUGUUGGCUAGAAUAGGUGGGAUCCAAUGAAUUUUGGAAGCCAAGCCUAACCAUAGCCUUACUAGACUUGAAGUUAAGCUUCAGAAGGAGCUCGAAGAGGUUCUCACUCAGGAAGAAUUAUUGUGGCUUCAGAAAUCCAGGAGAGAUUGGACUUUGUAUGGUGACCGCAACACUGCUUAUUUCCAUAAAAAAAUGCUAACCAGGCAUCGCCAGAAUCGGAUUACUGCAAUUCAAAAUGAUACUGGGCAGUGGAUACACGACGUCGAGAUCAUUAAGCAACGUGCAGUCAAUUUCUUUUUGGAAUUAUACACGCCUGAACAAGGGGUGCAUAGAACAUAUAAUGUCAGGGGGUGUUUCCCUGAGACGUCAGAUGAUAUUUGUUUAAGUUUGAUGUCUGCGGUAACAGAUGAGGAAAUCAGACAUACUAUUUUCAGUAUGAGUCCUUUUAAAGCUCCUGGAGUUGAUGGCUUUCAUGCUAGUUUUUACCAAGCGCAAUGGAAUACAGUUGGUAUGUCUUUGAGCUCUUUAAUCAAAAAUAUUUUUAAUUCUAAUCAUAUCCCUGCAGAGAUCAACAGAACCUUGCUGGUGCUCAUUCCUAAAGUGUAUCAUCCAACAAGCCUCAAGAUGUUUCGGCCGAUCAGCCUUUGCACAAUUCCGUAUAAAACGGUGACGAAAAUUAUUGCAAAUAGGUUACAGGUUUUUCUUCCAGAUCUCAUUGGACCCCAACAAACCAGUUUUGUACCGGGUCGGCAUAUUACAGAGAAUAUUGUUAUUGCUCAAGAGGUAAUCCAUACAAUGAAGAAAAAUGUGGGGGGUAAAAGAAUGAUGGCGGUUAAAGUGGACUUGGAAAAGGCUUAUAACCGGUUGAGUUGGCGAUUUGUUCAGGAAACUUUACAGGAAGUUGGGCUACCGGAGCGAUUUAUUCACCUCAUAAUGGAGUGUUUGUCCACAGCCCAAAUGAAUGUUUUGUGGAAUGGAGAAAUGACUGAAGAUUUUCGGCCAGGGAGAGAAAUUCGACAAGGAGACCCUCUUUCGCCUUAUAUUUUUGUGCUUUGUAUUGAAAGAUUAAGUCAUGGGAUUAUCCAGGCGGUUAAUCAAGGUAGAUGGAAACACAUUUGACUGACUCGAACUGGCACUCCUCUAAGUCAUUUAUUUUUUGCGGAUGAUCUGCUUCUCUUUUUGGAAGCAAGUUACGGCCAAGUUGAUGUAUUGAAUGAUGUGGUGGAGAAUUUCUGUAGGAGCUCGGGCGCUAGAGUUAGUAAUCAAAAGACCCAAGUCUUCUUCUCCAAAAAUGUCCCGGUCACUUUAGCCAAUGGAAUUGGCAAGGCUUUAGGCUUCUCGGUUACAAAUAAUUUGGGAAGAUAUCUUGGCAUGCCUCUUCUUCACGAUCGGGUUUCUAAGAAAACGUAUCAGAGUAUCAUUGACAAAAUUGAUCAGCGGCUAUCAGGAUGGGCAGCAAAGCAAUUGUCUCUGGCAGGGAGAGUUACUCUCACUCAAUCGGUGCUUCAGGCAAUCCCGAUUUACGCUAUGCAAACCACGUACCUCCCAUCUAGUGUCAGAGUUAAAAUUGAUCAAUUAUGUAGAAGAUUCAUUUGGAGUGGGGCUGGUUCUCAACGCAAGUUAAGUUUGGUUAGCUGGGACAACAUUUGUAGGCCUAAGAGCAAUGGAGGGCUCGGUUUCAAGGACAUGGAACUUAUGAACAAAGCCUUACUAAUGAAAGUGGCUUGGGAUUUAUUCAUAAAUCCUAGCAAGCUGUGCUCCCAGGUUUUAAUUUCUAAUUAUGUUGCGCCUUGUGAUAUGAUUACUACUGAUGCUUCAUUUAAAAAUGGUUCCUAUUUAUGGCGCUCUAUGGGUAAGAUUUGGAAAGACUUCCAGAAGGGUUUGCGUUGGAGUAUUGGAAAUGGCCAACGGGUGAAGUUUUGGGAUGAUAUUUGGGCUACAAAUGGUGAUCCCUUAAUCAACUAUACGGUGGCUUCAAUUCCGGAUAGCAUGCGAAAUAUGUUGGUGGCGGAUUGUGUGGAUCAAAAUGGGAAUUGGUUGUGGAACAUAUUCAACUCUUUUUUGAAUAACCAUGCUGUUUUAAGGAUUGCUUCCAUGGCUCCUCCGUCGUCAAUGAGAGGCGAGGAUAGGAUGUAUUGAGGUGCAUCAAAUACUGGCAAUUUUACAGUCCAAUCAGCUUACCAAGUGCUUACGAAUUUUUGCCCCGCUGAAGACUGUCAAGACUGGCAACAUUUGUGGAAAUGGAAGAGGCCUCAAAGCGUAAGAAUUUUUCUAUGGUUAUUAUGCCAUGAUCAAUUGAAGACGGGAUGUGAGCUUGCUAGAAGGCAUCUGGACGUCGAGGCUUUAUGUGGGAGGUGCCAUGCAGACGUUUAGAAUUCUUUGCAUGCAAUUCGAGAUUGUGAUUAUUCGAGAGGUGUUUGGCGGAAGCUUGUUCCCGCGCUUAGACAACAUGACUUUUUUAGUUAUCCUCUUUGGCAAUGGAUCAUGACAAAUCUUAGGAGAAGAGUCUGUGAUAUGGGGAGCUUAUUUUGGCCGAUUAUGUUUGGUAUUGCGGCUUGGAGAAUUUGGUAUUGGAGGAACCAGGUGAUGUUCAACAACAAGAGCUGGAAUGGUGAUUUGAUCGUUCGAGAUAUUAAGGCAAGGACUGAGAGUAUUUGUUCUACUCUUUCAAGCAUAGGCUAUCGAAGAAAUGAAAGGAUUCAGAAAUGGAUUCGUUGGGCUCCUCCACCAUGGCCUUUCUUGUGCUUAAAUACGGAUGGUGCAAGGAAAGGAAAUGGAGAGGCGAGUGCAGGUGGGCUGCUGCGGGACUGUCAUGGUAAUUUUAUUCAUGGUUUCAGCGCACAUCUCGGAGUUUGUUCAGUUCUAAAGGCUGAACUUUGGGGUGUCUUGCAUGGGUUAAGAAUGGCAUGGGAUCUUGGCUAUAGACGUAUCCAAGUUGGAGUAGACAACUGUAGUGUGGUGCAAAUUAUAAGGGAAAAUAAUGCUCAUGUCAACGAAAUUUCGAAUAUAAUCGAGAUGAUUAGAGAACUCAUGAGGAGGGAUUGGAGGAUUCAAAUUGAUCACAUCUACCGCGAAGCAAACUCGGCAGCUGAUUUCCUUUCUACGCAUGCUUUGAGUUUACUUGUUGGAGUACAUUUUCUUCAUUCUGCACCUUUAGGUUUGAGAUCUAUUUUAUAUUUGGAUAUGUAUGGGGUGGCACACUCCCGGUUUGUGCCCCUUUAGCUCUUCUCUUUUAGAGCCUUUUGUUUAUCAAAAAAAAAAAAAAAGCUUCCAACUGAAAUAGGGAAUGCACUUACUACUAAGGACAGUUGGUGGCCACCUAAUGCAUUCAUUUUAUAUCAAUUCAUCAUUUUAAUUAUUGAAAACAAGUGGCUCAUCGCUUUUACUUUAGGUAAAAUUCGGAUAAUCUCUAUUAUGAAAUGAUAAUAUUCUCUUAAAUUAUUAUAAACCUCAGCCAAUCUUAAUUUUAUUUAAAAGAUAAAAGAAAAAUAGGUUAUGUUGGUGACUUUUUUCUUAUCUUUUUAAUAAAAAUAAAAUAAAUUGAUGUUUAUAAUUGUUUAAAAUACUUUAAAGAUUGUUAUUUUAUGAGAGAGUAAUAUUUUACUUUUUUAUUGUGAAAUGCUAAAAAGGACAAAGCAAGUGUCCCUGGUUUUUAUUUUAUUUGAAAUUGGUCAUCUCAUAUACUUUACGUUUCAACACUACAAUUUUUUUGGUUAUAUUUUUAUUAUUUUUUUCUUUCUUACACAUGCACGUAAAUUUUCUUUCUUUAAGCUCCUGAAUAUUUAAGACAAAUCAUGGAAGAGAUGAAAGUAUAACAAGAUGAUCAAAAUACGUAACAAAAAAUUUACAAGUGAAACAUACGUUAGAGUCGAAGUAAAACUCUGAAAAUAGAGAUAUUGAUUAAUUUAGAAGAGAUGCAAGCAAAAGAUUUUCUUAAAAAAAAGAAAAGCAAUUUGUCCCUUUCCAGGGCAAACUUGUUAGUCUCAAAAAGGUACAUUCUUUGAAUUGAUAGUUGCAGGAUUUUUGUCUUGUUUUUGUUGUUGUGCAUUAGUUGGAGAAGUCAAGCCUAGUGAAAAAUGUUAUGAAAGAGCAAAGGAUAUUUCUGACAGCUUUAUUUAAUUAUGUAUUCAUUUAAUGGAUGUAUUGUUAGAAGAUAUUUAAGUGCAUUAGUUCAUCCGUGUCUGUUGAUGUGCUUUUAGUGAUUUUUCCAGCUGUUUGUUGUAAAAGAUGAUUGUAAAUUGAAAUGAACUUGAUGUUGUAAUAUUUUCUCUUUUGUGGAAUCUCAGUUGUGUUGUCUAUAAUUUUAGUCAAAAUUAUUGUUAUUAUUUCUUACUAGAGGUAAAUUUUUUAUUAAACCUCAUUAACACAAUUCUUAAUUAAAAGUAUAGGUUAGUGUCGGUGCAGGAUUUGCAGCACCAGAUCCUGCCUAGCUACGUGUCAAAAAUACAAAAUAAAUGAAGAGAAAGCACAAAUACAUGACUUGGAUUAGGAUAGAAGGAAACUUAAAUCUUAAAGAAAAUGAUAGCUAUAUCCCACUAUUUGAAAAAAUGGUCAUGUAGAUUUUUAAGAUUUAAAUAAGGGACGGAGAUCUUCUUUUGACAAAUAAUAUCUUUUAGCUCUCUCAAGUAAAAAAAAAAUUAAAUAUUUUAUAAUAAAUAAAAAUAUAAUAUUAAAAUAUACGUGAUAAUAUAUACAUUUUAAAUAAUUUCAAUCCAAAAAAAUAGUUAUGUUUUAUCGAAUCUACCUAUGUUACAAUAGUAGUAUGGUACCACAAUAUUUGUUCUUAUCCAAUGUAAUCAUUGGAUGAUUUAGAGCUUAAUCUAACGGCUUAAAUUAUUUUUCUGAAUAUUUGAAGCAACAACUUGCAACCGUUGGAGCCGGUUGCAUAUUAAUUUAAUAUCAUUUGGGGAAGCGUACGGUCAGGAAGUUUCUUAGUAUGCCACCAAUGGAAUUUGAUUUCAUCUCAAAUCGAUCUGCAGGCAGCAAUUGGGAAAUUACACUCACGGUCUUCCUCUUCUUCACUUCCUCUCUACUCUUCACUUUUCUCACUCUCGCGAUGUUUACAGCAUGAUAAGUACAAUUACAAACCAGGAAAUGCCAUUAACAAUUUUCAUUUGUCUUAGUCGUUUUUUUUUUUUUUAGUAGAAAGCCAAAAAAGAAAACGGGUGGGAGGUUGGGGCGUCGUGAUGAAAUGGUUUUGAGUUUUUGACGGAAUGUUUGUUUUUGUGAUUCAUUUAGGGUUUGAAUUCAGGCUUGUACGAACUCGGAUCUAUUCGAGAUCCGUAUUGGCGCUGAAAUCAGAUCCUUUGAAGCCUUGGUUUGAAUUCAACCUUGAGAACUCCAAGCUUGUUAGAAUCUUCAUUGAUCUCUCCAGAAAUUACACGGAUCUUAUUACUAAACCCUACAUAUAGGGCUGCAAUGGAGUCCGAUUCUCUCACAAUUGAUGAAUCAAUAUUGAGACAGUUCGAAAAGGAAGUAAAAAAGAGAAUCAACUUGACUGGCUAAAUAAUUGCGGAGGCCAAAGAGUCUUUUGAUAAUCAAUUGAAGAUUUAGAAGUUAAAAGACACUAUUUUUACUAUGAACGAACAAUUGACUAAGGCGAAAAAGCAAGGAGCUUUUUUGAGUUUGAUUGCUGCGAAAUCGAUGCCUUAGAGUUUGCAUUGUUUGGCCAUGAGGUUGAUGAAAGAGCGAGUUGUUCAUCCGGAGAACUAUAAUGAAGAAGGGAAGCCCACACAUGCAGAAUUCGAGGAUCCCAAACUUUAUCAUAAUGCUAUUUUUUCUGGGUAAUAUGCUUGCAGCUUCGGUGGUGGUGAUUGGUGAAUUUAGCUGUUAAGAACUCGAAGGAGCCUUGGAAACAUGUGUUUCAUGUUGUGAUGGAUCAAAUGUUUAAAUUGAAGGAUUAUAAUGGAGCACAUUUAGGCACGAAGGCUGUUGAGGAUUAUAAGUUUUUGAAUUCUCACAUGUCCCUGUGUUAAGGCAGCCGGGGUUUGCUAAUUUGCAAAGGUUUUACUUCGGGAAGUAGCUUGAGAAUGCUACGAAAGAUGCUACUAACAUGAAGUUUAGGAAUCCCAAUUACUUGUUGAUACUGUAUCAUUUGAGGUUCUGGAUAAGAUUUCAAUGAUGGCCGCUUAAAACAAAUAAUAAAAAAAAAGAACUUGUACUGUAUUUGGAUCUUUACUUAUUUGAUAUAGUUUUCUGCAAUCUCUCCAUGCAACCGGUUACUUUAAUUAUCCACUAACUCAUCUCAACCGUUUGAUGGACUCACUUUAUAUCCAACGGCAGUUUUAAAUGAAGACAAAAAGUGUGGUAUGUUGCAAUUGUUGCAACAUAUGUGAGUCUUGUUUUACAAUCUAUUUAACAUAUUUUAUUAAAUUAAUAUAUUUCUAUGAUAUAGGAACAUAAUAUUAAAAUAAAUUUACAAAAAUUUAAAGAAUUUUGAAUGUAAAACAAUUUCAAUAUAUUAAUAAUGAGAUUUUUUUAUUAUUAUAAAAAUUAUUUAACCCAUAGAUUUUUUUAAAUCUUUACAAUAAGUAUAAAUAUAUUAUCUUCACUUAAAAAUAUUUAAAUAUUAUUAACCUAUAAUUAGGUUUGCAUUUAUUAGAAAAUUUUAAAGUCAAAUAUAUUGCACUUUUGCAUUAUUAGAAUCAUCACAGAGAAAGGAGCAUAUAUACUUUAUAACUUUAAAAAUUGGUUUCUUCUGGAAACAGAGAUGAUGAUUAUUAUAAGGAUGAAAAAAAAAAGAUAAAGAAUAUUAAUGAUUAACGAAAUCUCUAUGCAAAUUGAUUUUAGUAGGGAAAGAGUGAGAUGAAUAACUUCUUUUACAGCUAAAAACAGAGAUGAUGAUUAUUAUAAGGUUGAAAAAAAAAGAUAAAGAAUAUUAAUUAUUAAUGGAAUCUCUAUGCAAAUUGAUUUUAUAGGAAAAAAGCGAGCUAAAUGAUUUAGACAUUCAUAGUGUAUUUAUUUUUGAAUUGGUGAAUAAGAAUUAUUGACAACGCUAACUUCAUCUUCACCGUUGGCUAUCCAAUAGCGGCAAUUGUCGCCGAUUAUGAUAUCUCCAAUGAUGAUGACGGUUUUUUUAUUAUUAUUAUUGGUGACCCCUUGGAAAGUUAACUGCAACUGCCAAUCAGAGAAAAGUCGUCAUGCACAAUCCUCAAUCGAACCAAUCAUCUACGUUACAGAAUCUGAAACGUACACACUGUUAACAUAUAUGUUUCCAUAAUGUUGAUUUUGAUGAUAACAAACAAGAUUAAGAAUGAUUAAUCUUUUAAGCUCAAAUUAUUUUUAUGCAUUUUAAAUAAAUCAUUAUUUUUACAUUAUAAAGGUUCUAUAUUUAAUGGAAAAAUGAUUUUAUGAAAUUGAUUGUUUUUUAUUCUUUUUAAAUAAAUCAUUAUUUUCACAUUAUAAAUGUUUCAUAUUCAAUGGAAAAAUGAUUUUAUGAAAUUGGUUGUUUUUCAAAGUUUAUGGUUUAAUUGAAAGAAUUUUGAAAACUUUGAAAUAAACAAGUAUUGCUUGAAAUUUCAGAUUUGGACUUAUUUGAAACUAUUUAAAUGUUUUUAGGCUAUUCUAUAAUUUCACAAAGUUUGGGCGAAAUUAUAAUUUCAGAACGUUGUGGGAUUGACAAAGUAUUAUUCUAAAAUUCUGAAAUUGGACUUAUUUGUAAAUUUUCAUAACGUUUUGGGUUAUAGUAUAGUUUUAUAAAGUUUUGGGGUCAAAUUAUAAUUUCAGAAAAUAGUGCACUGUGCAGGUUACUGUGGCAUCCGGCUUACCGGAUAUAAAAAUCGGAAAACCGGAUACGGGGCAGAAUGUAUCCAGAAUGUAAACGGCUUACCGGAUUUCGUAACCAGCAAGCCGGAUAGGCAAAAUUCAAAUUUUUGCCUUAACGGUAACAUAAAUCCAGCUUAUCGGAUUCCAUAAAUGGCAAACCGGAUACGCCCAGAAUGUGAGUAACGGCUAGUUUUUGAGUUCAAACUAUAUAAACUCAAAACCAAUUCAUUUUUGGUAAUCCAAGCAAGAAAGAACAAGUGCACAUAACAUAUAUUGAGCUUCAAUUUCGUAACUCAUCAUUUAUUAAAUCAUCUUUGUUUUUCAAUUUGUAUAUCCACUCUUAAAGAGAGAUUCAUUGUUGUAUUUUUCAUUUCUCAUCAAAUUGUGAGUGUACAAGUGUGAGAAACACUUGGGGUGAAGAGAUUGGAGAGAUAAUCUCUUGUUGUAAAGGUUCAUUAACACAUUGAAGUCAAUUGUAAACGUUUGAAGCCUUGGAAAUGCUUGGAUAGUGAAAUCCUCAAGCCCGGUGUGCUUGGAAGCGUGGACGUAGGCGGAGAUUACCGAACCACGUAAAAAUCCUUGAGUUUGCUUUCUCUUCCCUUACUCUUUAAUUAUUGUGCUUUGAUUGAACUUAUUGCUUUCAAUUUUUAUUAAGACAUUAGAUUAAAUUGUUGUGUGGUUUGCCUAGGAUAAUUUUUAAAAUCUCAAUUCACCCCCCUCUUGAGUUGCCUAGUUAGUAUUUCACACACCCAAUGGGAAGCAGCACACGUGUUCUGAGGAGAGAGAGAAAAAACCGUGCAAAUGCAAGCAAUAGGUAUUGGCUACAGUUGGAUCUGUAAGUUACAGAAUCUGUAACUUAGCCAACUCCCUCAAUGAUCAAUAUUGUUUCCGAUAUUUAUAAAUUGGUGGCCCCUUGGAAAUUUAACUGGAAGUUUGCAAGUGUCAAUCAGAAAAAAAUCGUCAUCCAUUGUUUUUUUUUUUCUGCAUUCCCUUUCAUGUUCUUAAUAAUUGAGGACAGGUUGUUCAUAACAUUUAUACUUUUCAAAUGUGGAGCUGCAUUUAAUGUCGCUAUUUUAAUUUGGGAUUAAAUUAGGGGAACACUAACUUUUAUAUUUAUCUAAACUCCUUAAAUUUAAGACAGAUUAUGGCGUAAAUAAGAAUAUAAUAAUAACAAAGGAAUUAAAAAGUAUAAUGACGAUCUUGCAGAAAUAUAAAUAUUAGCGUUGAAUUAAAUAACAUAGAACACAUGAAUUGAAUAGUGAUUAUCAAGACGGUGUUACUUGCACUCCUAUUUAUAAAAAAUCUUGGUUCUGUUCCAUUAGAUUUUUUAUCUUCAAAAUCUUGCAAAGUUUUGACAACCCAAAGGCUCAGUUUGGUUGUUCUAUAUUUGUAUGAUAUGAAUUCAAAUUUUUGUGUUCUGUUUUUCUUAAUUCUGAACACGGAUUCUUCUCUUCUCGUGCAAACCAGAAAGAAAUGUUGUCUUACAAAAAAAAAAGGGGAAUAACUUCAUGAGAACAAAAAUUCAGAAAAAUAAUAUAAAGUUUAUAUUUAGACUUUUGUGGUAUAUUUUAAUUUUCAACAAUGAGUUAAAGAAAAUAAUAAAUAAAGUAAAUAAAAGUUUAGAGAUUCAAAUUUUUAGUAUUGGAUUCUUUAAUUCAAAUACCUCUCAUUAAUUAACACUUAAAAGAGAGUUCACUAUUAUAAUUUUAAGUUUUUUGAUUUAUUAUUGAUAUAUAAAUUAGGAGUUUAAGCUUACUUUUUUAUUUUUCCAUUUUUUUUCAAAUUUGAAAUUAUUAUUUAAAUUUAUAAUUUUUUUUAAAAAAAUAGAGGGCUUGAGCCUGGCUUGGGUAUUGUUUCCUAAACCCUUAUCCGGCCCUGGCUUUUUUGCCAGCCCCAAUGAUGAUGAUGAUGAUUAUUUUAUUAUUAUUAUUAAUGAUGAAAAGUAUUAUAAUUAAUUAAUAUAUUAUUGUAUUGUUAUUAAGAUUAACAAUAAUUAUUAAUGAUAACAAUUUUUUGAAUAAAAAUAAUCACAAUAAUUAAAAUAUAAAUUAAUAAUUAUAACAAUAGUUAAUUAAUGUAUUUUUAACAAUUUGUAAUAAUUUAACUCAUUCUAAUUUCGAUUAUUAUAGUUAAGUAAACAACUUAUUAUAAUUUUCAUUCUCCAUUUUAAUUUCAGCUCAUUUCGAUUUCAGUCUAUUCCAAUUUUCAUUUAAUAAACGUUCCAUUAAUGCUAUAGUAAUAUUUCAUAUAGAAAAAAAUAAAAGCUACAACUAAGGUUAAGGGAAAGGACUUCAAAACUCUCUUUUUGUCAUAAUACAUUUUUUCCUAAUUAACUUAAAGAGUUUGAAUCUAAUAUUUUAUAAUAAAUAAAAAUAUAUUCCAAAAGUAAAUAUAAUAUAUCUAUUUUAAACUAAUCUCAAUAUUUAAAAUAUAUUUAAUAUUUUACAAUCUAUUAGACAUAUUUUAUUAUAUUAAAAUAAAUUUUAUAAUAAAUAUGAACAUACUGUUAAAAUGAAUAUAUAAAAAACUUAGAGUAUUUUGAAUAUUAUAUAAAAUAAUUUUAGUAGAAUACGUGAGAUAUAUUUUAUUAAUGUAAAAUGCUAUUUAAUCUAAAGAUUCAUUUAUGAUAAAUUAAUAAUUAUAUUUUUAAAAUUAUUUUAAAAAUUAAAUUUUUUUAAUAUUAUUAAUCUAUUAGACAGAUAAAAUUAUUUAUAUUAUUUUGUAUUUAUUAAAAAAAUUUAAAGUCAAUUUUUUUAAUUACUAUUCAAAGGAUAUAAUAAUUAAAAAAAUCUUAGCGUUUUCAUUAAAAAUUUAAAAAUUUACAUGACUAUUUCUGUAAAUAUUUAAGGUAUAUAUGAACUACGGUAGAGAAGCUUCAUUUAAUAUUAUUGAUUUAAAUAAUAUCUCAAUUAAAAAUGUACAGAGAAUAUAUUUCGGUGGGUAUUUUAAUCUUUUUAGCAAUUAUCAUGGUUAGCCCUUGGCCUUGAAACGUCUGUCAGAAAGGUUUUCAAAUGCUUUAAUUGUUCUUAUUAAAAAAAAAAUCUUUAAUUGUUUUUUCACUUUUAACGUCAGCGGCCUUGAAAGUGCUUUUACUUUAUAACAAAUUAAUUAAUGCUGACGAGAAAAUAUCUCUUCCACAGCCCACAGCAGCUUCUGUUAAUCAAACUCAACCAAUUUUCUCUCUUAACAAAAUUCCAAAGAUGGGUAGCAUUUUUCAGAUCACAUGCGACGGCGCUUUUUUCAAUCGUUGCUUUGGAUUGCUUUCUUGGAAAAGCAGCAUACAUAAGCAACAUCCAAGAUAAUCUUGUAGCCUUGGAGACUGAACUGGGAAGACUAAUCGCAGCAAAGAACGAUGUGAUGAUGAGGGUUGUCAAUGCUGAACGACAACAAAUGAAAAGGCUGGGCCAAGUGGAAUGGUGCGUUUCGAGGGUGGAUGCUGUUAAAAUUGAAGCUGAUGAACUUAUCAGAGACGGCUCUCAAGAAAUUGACAAAUUAUGUGUUGGAGGCUACUGUUCUAAGAACUGCACGUCAAGCUACAAGUUCGGGAAACAAGUGGCUAAAAAGCUACGAGAUGUGGAGACUUUAAUCGCCGAAGGAGUUUUUGAGGCGGUGGCUACCGAGGUGGUGCCUGAGAGAGCUCCAGAGCCUGUAGCAGAUGAAAGACCUACCGAGCGAACAGUAGUAGGCUUGCAAUCACAACUUGAACAAGUCUGGAGAUGUCUUGCAGAAGAAUCAGUGGGAAUCAUUGGCCUAUAUGGUAUGGGCGGUGUUGGUAAAACUACAUUACUGACCCAUAUCAACAAUAAAUUUCUCGAGAGUCCAACCAACUUUGAUUGUGUGAUUUGGGUAGUAGUUUCAAAAGACCUGCGACUUGAAAAAAUUCAAGAAGAUAUUGGAAAAAAGAUAGGUUUGGUUGGUGAUUCGUGGAAGAGUAAAAGUGUAGAGGAGAAAGCUGUCGACAUCUUCCGGAGUUUAAGAGAGAAGAGAUUUGUAUUGUUGUUAGAUGAUAUAUGGGAGCGGGUUGAUUUAACAAAGGUGGGCGUUCCACUUCCCGGACCAAAAAAUACUACCUCAAAAGUUGUAUUCACAACCCGUUUCAUCGAUGUUUGUGGUAGCAUGGAAGCUGACAGGAAGUUCCAAGUGGCGUGCUUAUCAGAAAAGGAUGCUUGGGAACUGUUUCGAGAAAAAGUUGGGGAAGAAACUCUUCAGAGUCAUCAUGAUAUCGUUGAGCUAGCCCAAAUUGUGGCCAAAGAGUGUGGUGGUUUGCCACUCGCACUUAUUACUAUUGGUCGAGCUAUGGCCUGCAAAAGGACAGCCGAGGAGUGGAGACAAGCAGUUGAAGUGCUAAGAAGAUCAGCUUCUGAGUUUGCAGGUUUGGGAAAAGAGGUGUAUCCUCUUUUAAAGUUUAGCUAUGAUAGUUUGCAGAAUGAGACGAUUAGAUCUUGUUUCUUAUAUUGUUGUUUAUAUCCCGAAGAUUAUGGAAUUCUUAAAUGGGACUUGAUUGAUUGUUGGAUUGGUGAGGGAUUCUUAGAGGAAUCUGACAGGUUUAGUGCAGAAAACCAAGGAUACUACAUUGUGGGCACUCUUGUUCAAGCAUGUUUAUUAGAAGAGUUAGAAGAUGAUAAAGUAAAAAUGCAUGACGUUAUUCGUGAUAUGGCUCUAUGGAUAACCAUUGAAAUUGAGAAGCAGAAGAGAAACUUUUUGGUUCGUGCAGGUGCUGGAUUAAAAGAGGCACCGGCUGUUAAAGAAUGGGAAAAUGUGAGAAGAUUGUCAUUGAUGCAAAACCAAAUUAAAACUCUGUCAGAGGUUCCUUCAUGCCCUCAUCUCCAUACUCUAUUUCUUGCCUCUAAUGAUAAUUUGAGGAUGAUCACGGAUGGCUUCUUUCAAUUUAUGCCUUCUCUCAAAGUUUUGAAGAUGUCAAACUGUGUGGAUUGGCCAGUUUCGAAAUUACCUUUGGCGAUGUCAAAGUUGGGUUCACUACAACUUCUUGAUAUUUCACAUACCGGCAUAGAANNNNNNNNNNNNNNNNNNNNNNNNNNNNNNNNNNNNNNNNNNNNNNNNNNNNNNNNNNNNNNNNNNNNNNNNNNNNNNNNNNNNNNNNNNNNNNNNNNNNGAAGAGUUGAAGUUGUUGGUAAAUCUGAAAUGUUUGAAUUUGAGGUGGACAUUUGAGUUAAAUAAAAUUCCAUGGCAACUAAUAUCAAAAUUUUCAAGGUUACGUGUGUUGAGAAUGUUCGCUACUGGCUUUGCACGUUUUGAUGAAGCAUCAGAAGACAGCGUUUUAUUUGGUGGGGGUGAAGUUUUAGUACAGGAAUUGGUCGGUCUGAAAUAUUUAGAGGUAUUGGAGUUGACCUUGGGAUGUCAUCAUGCUCUCCAAAUUUUUUUGAGCUCAAAUAAGUUAAAAAGUUGUAUUCGAUCUCUUCUCCUCCAGUUGGCCGGAGAUACAACGUCGAUUAUUGAUGCUACGGCUUUCGCAGAUCUAAACCACCUCAAUGAAUUAUGCAUUGAUAGGGCUAAGGAGUUGGAAGAAUUGAAGAUUGAUUGUAAAGAAAUAGUACAAAAAAGGCGGGAACCUUUUGUUUUCCGCAGCCCUCACCGUGUUACUAUACAUAGCUGCCAGAAGUUGAAAGAUUUGACAUUCCUCGUUUUUGCUCCAAACCUCAAGUCUCUCGAUCUAGACCGUUGCGAUGCUAUGGAAGAAAUAAUCAGCGUCGGAAAAUUUGCUGAGACUCCUGAGAUGAUGGGACAUAUAAGCCCUUUUGAAAAUCUCCAAAUGCUUGAUUUAGAAGAUUUGCCUCAUUUGAAGAGCAUCUUCUGGAAGCCAUUGCCUUUCACUCAUCUGAAAGAAAUAUCUGUGGGUUAUUGCCGUAAUCUUAAAAUGCUUCCACUCGAUUCCAACAGUGCAAAGGAGCGUAAAUUUAUUAUUCGUGGAGAAGAAGACUGGUGGAACCGACUUCAAUGGGAGGAUGAAGCCACUCAAAUUGCUUUUCGUUCCUGUUUCCAAUCUCUUUUUGAUUAACUCUUAUACAUUUUCUCGUCGUUUGCUUCAUGCAAAAGACUACGUCUUUUGUUCUCUGUUUUUAUUUCAGUUUCGUUUUGUCUCCUGCAAAUCACAAUUAAAUGUUGAAUUAUAUGGAAGUAAUGCUUUAUAAAUUUGCCGGCACUGCCAUUUAUUUUUCCUCUUUUUUUUUUUGGGUCGAAUUGAUGCUCUGGCUUUUUUAUUUUUUGUCAUCGAAUUUUGCUCUGUUUUUCAAAUUGAUGCUUGAAUAUGUGAAUUCAAUUAAUGCUCACAUAAUUUUGUUUAGUUGCCGUAAAAGAAUAUAAUUAGACUGAAAUUCGCACUCCCAGAAUGAAUAGAAUCACAACAGAGAAAAUAUUAAGUAUGCUAGCCCUCUUUACAGAAAAUCAAAUGAAAAUAAAAUUUUUUGGAUAUUUGAUUUUCUAUGGUCUACUAUAUACACUUUAUAAAUUCUUCUGUUCUAAGGAUAACCAAGUAGGGGAUUGAUGAAGGCUCCUUUUUGGGAUUCUUCUUUUUCUAGGCUGCAAUUAGGAUAUGUACAUGAUAGACAAUCUUUUGUUGGUUUAGCAUAUCUUCGCUGAUUUUGUCUUUUAUUCCCCAAUUUUAUAAUUACACACCAUGAAUGUUGGGUGAUUGUAUAGAAAAUUUGUGUUAUAACAAAAACAUUGUGAAGGAGUUUCCGUGCUAAUAGUUAGUGGCUUCUGUUUUAUUGGUAUUGAUUGGGUAGAUUUCGUGUUACAGUGAUUCAAUUUGUGUUCCAAACUUUGCUUUAAUUUUCUGUUUUCCCCAACUAUUUAUGUCAAAUUUAAAUCCAGAAGCAUGUACUGAUUUUUUCUUUUUGUAUUAAUCUGUGAAGUUUACUUGGAAUGGAAGUAACUGGGUCGGGUCUAAUGGAUUAAAUUAUGACAUUGAGGGGAAGGCACUAAAAGGGUUUGCUUGACACAUUUGGUUCUGUAUUUACUCUGCAAGAAAUAGCUUUUGCUUAUUGCAAUGCAGGGGGAAAUCCCGAUUUGGCUGGUGAAUUUCUCUGCAACAAACAGGCAAACGCCUCAACCUCUUCUGUCCAUACUUCUGCUGGGGAGGCAAGGGGUAAAGAGUCUUCAAAAUCAUCAAAUAGUAACAUCUCUGAGAAUUCAUUUUAUGGAAAUGGAAAAUCUAGAGCUUCUAAUACAAAAUGGCAUCUGGUAUCAGGACGUACCGUUUCAAGUUUUCUUGGUAAAGAUUAUGUUAAACCUGCACAGCCAGCUAAUGGCACUGUUCUGGCAUCAAAGCCAUUGAAGUUGGAUCCAAGGGAGUUUCGCAUUUCUGCACUUUCAGAGUAGAAACUAAACCAAAACAAUCAAAGGAUGACCAUUUGCAGAAGGAUAUGGAAGAUUUUCUGUUUAAAUUGCUAGGAGAAGGGUUCCAGCUGUACAGGGAUGUGAUUCAGGAGGUUCAUGGAAACGUCUUAAAUAUAUUGAUGCCAAUUUAAUACAUAUUGUCCUUUUCAAUGUUCUUUCUUUCUUUCUCCUCUUUUUAUUCUUCUUCUUCUUCUUUUUUCUUUUCGUGUGCAUGUGAUCACUAAUUUGGUAUUAUUCUUAACUUGCAGAUAGUUGUGGAUAUGAUAUGCAAAAUAUCUUCUUGAUGCUGGCAGAUUCACUUGAUUCUUAUUAGUUUGUUUAGUGGCAAGGCAUAUAACCUGUAUUUCAAAGCCAAGUUGUGCUAUUGAUUAUGUUAACUUUAUUGUUAACAUAAAGUGAUAUGGAGGACAUAAUCAAUGUAGGAAAAUUAGGUGAAGAGAUGAUGUCAAAUCUUGAACCUCUUACAAAGCUCCAAGUUCUUUACUUGAAGAAGCUGCCAAAUUUGAAGAGCGUCUACUGGAAGGCAUUUCCAUUCCCAGAUGUAUGCAGAAUUUUUGUAUUAAUGCCCAGUUCUUAAGAAGCUGCCACUGGAUUUUCAAAGGGCGGGCCAAGGUGAAAUUCUUAUCAAGGGAAAGGAAGAUUGGUGGAAAGAACUUCAAUGGGAGGAUCAAGCAACUCAGAAUGCAUUGCUUCCAUUUUUCAAAUCAACUGACAAGUGAUUGAAGGGGGCAUCAUCAACAGAGAUGGAGAGAUUCUGGAGCAGAUCAACAGGGUUUGUAUAUGAUCUUUGGUGGUUGCUUUCUUUUGUGAUUUUUUUUUCUCAUUUUUUUUCCUUCCUGUCAUUUUAUCAUUUCUUUGUCUCUUUUUCUAUUGCUGAUGUUAGUGUAUGCUUACUGUUGCUUGACAAAGUUUGCUUGCUUCUUGUUUAUUAAAUUUUUUAUGGUCACAAAAUAUUACUUGUUCUAUUUGAGAGUGAUGUGAAUCAAUUUUCAAUUAUAUAUUUUGUGGUCAAUGUGAAUUCAAUUUCAUUUGUCUCCUGCAAUUAUGAAAAAAAUGCAGAGUCAUAAUAUGGAAAAGUCGACCGGCAAAAACUUUGUGAAAGCUUCGGAGUGAAACAGGGAAUUCACUUACUACUAAGGACAAUUGGUGGCGAGCUAUUCCAUUCAUUUUAUGUCCAUACAUCUAUUUAAUUAUUGAAGAUAAGUGGUCCAUUUGUAAAUUUCAGAUUGUCCCUCUCUCUUGAAAUAACGAUAUUUAAAAUAUUUCUUAAAUUAUUAUAAAUUUUAAUUUACUCUGGAUUUAAAAUGGAACAUGAUGAAAAUUUUUUUUUCUUCUUAAUAAAAUUGAAAUAAAUUGUGUUUGCAGUAGUUUGAAAUAUUUUAAAGAUUAUUAUUUUAUAAGGGAGUAAUAUGAAAUGAAAUUUACUUUUCAUGCGUGAAAUGUUGAAAAAGGACAAAGCAAGUGUCCCUGUUUUUAUUUUAUUUCAAAGUGGAGUCAUCUCACGUACUUUAGCUCUUAACAUUAUAAUUUUUCUGGUUACAUUUUUAUUAUUAUUUUUUUUUUUUACACAUGCAUGUGGGUUACUUUUCCGUAAGCUCCUUAAUAUAUAUUUAACACAAAUCAUGGAAGAGAUGGGAGUAUAUCAAGAUGAUCAAAGCAUGAAACAAAAAUAUUUAAGAAGUAAAACACUGAAAAUGGAGAAGAGAUGCAAGCAAAAGAUAUUCCAAAGAAAAGCAAUCUAUCCCCCUUUCGAGGGCAAACUUAUCAGGUUUAAGAAAAGUACAUGCUUUGGAUUGGUAGUUGCAGCCUUGCAGGAUAAUUGUUUUUGCCACUAUAUUAGUUGGAGGAGUUGAACCCAGCGAAGAAUGUUAUGGAAGAGCAAAGGAUUAUGUAGCCUGAAUGGAUGUCUUGUUGAAAGAUAUCUCAGUGCAUUAGUUCAUCCUUGUCUGUCAAUGUGUUUUUAAUGGUUUUUCCAAUUGUUUAUUAUUAUAGAUUGAUUGUAAAUUGAUAUGAAUUUAAUGUUGAAAUAUUUUCUCUUUAGUGGAAUGAAUUUAAAAGUGCAAAAGCUUAUUGCACACAGAGAAAUAAACAUAUAUGCUUUAUAGUAUAACUUUAGCAAUCGAUUCUUUUACAGCUGGAAACAGAGAUGGUGAUUAUCAUAGGGGUGAAGAAAAGGACAAAAAAUGUUAAUGAUUAACGAAAUUUCUAUGCAAAUUGAUUUUAGCAGGAAAAAAAGUGAGCUAAAUGAUCUUAAUGUUCCACAAAAGCAAAUCGUAAUAUUCCACAAGAAAAAGCAAGAUCUUAAUGUUCCACAAAAGCGUUAUUUUUUUUUUGGUGAGCCACGUGGAGCUCAAUUAUCAUUGUCUUUACUUUAAAAACGUUAUUUUAUUUUAUUUUAUUACAAAUUAAUGCUAAACAAGAAAAAGCAAGAUAUAAUAUUCCACAAAAGCAAAUCGUAAUAUUCCACAGAGGAAUAAGAUCCACAAAAGCAAACAACUAGCUGGAUUCUUUUACUGAAUUACAAAUUAAAGUGGAAUCUUUUAUUAAACAAUAAAUUAAAGUUCGAAUAUUUAAGUAGUAGUGCGUUAGAUGAUUAGGCUCUCUUAUUAAAGGCAAGUAUAAGGUAGUCCAGAAUCGAACAUCUCUAUUGUCUAGUCAUUUUUUUCAAUUCUUCUUUUAUUAUUUUUCAGAAUAGGUUUUGGUGAUUACUAUUGGGUUAUUAGUCAGAGUUAUUCUUAUCUUCCGGGGCAGUUUCUGUUCAUCGGAAUUGUUAAUUAAAAGAGUAAUGAUAUAGUCACAAACUCUUGUAUAAACUUAUUUUGUACAAACUGAUGUGGCAUGAUAAGAUUAGUUGAAUUAAAUAUCACUUAGGCCACAUGAUUUAUUUUUAUUAUUUUAUAUUUUCAUUCAACCAAUGAAUUAAUGCCACGUCAGUUUGUACAAGAGUUUGUGGCUGUAUCAUUACUCUAAUUAAAAUUUUAGAACUCUUGUGGGAAGAAUGUUUUUCUGUUAUCUUUUUUACAUUCUAAUUUCAACAAUAAGAAGGAGUCAUUUUAGAAUUCGGGUCUUGAAUCGAAUUUCAAUGCAUGAAUUAAUAUUUUAAAAAAAAAUUACUACACGCAGUUUAGGUUACAAACUAUUUUUUGCAAAGUUGACUAUGAAAUUGGAGAAAUUAAGUAAUUUAUAAUGUUUGCAAAGGAAGAGACUAACAUACUUCCAAUUACACUAUAUCUCUAUUAUCAUAAUGUUAAGACUAAACUAACUUAAAAUAAAUUUUAUUUGAAAAGUUAUAUCAAACACAGUCUAAUUUUAUUAACUUGAAGAGAUAAUAGUUAUAGAAAUGAUUGUUCUAACUUAAUUAGUACAAGUGGUAUAAAGGUUAAGUGUGCACUAAAUUUGUUUAAAUUUUUUCCAGAAUAACUAACAGAGGUCAUUAUUAGAAUUAUAAUUACUAGUCUAUUAGAUAGAAAAAAUUAUAUAUAUUGUUUUAUAUUUAUUAAAAAAAUUUAAAGUCAAUCUUUUUAAUUAUUAUUUAAAGGAUAUUAUAAUUUAAAAAAAUUUAAUGUCUUUAUUAAAAAUUUAAAAAUUUACAUGACCGUUCUAUAAAUAUUUAAAGUGUAACUGUCAUUUUCUCAUGUAUAUAUAUAUAAACCACGGUGGUGAAGCUUUAUUUAAUAUUAUUGAUUUAAAUAACAAUAUCGCAAUUAAAAAUGUAGAGAGAAGAAAUUUUGGUGGGUAUAUUAGUCUUUUACAAUUAUCAUGAUUAGCCCUUCCUCUUGUAACGUUGGUCAGAAAAGUUUUAAAAUGCCUUGAUUUCUUUUACUUUUAACGUUAGCGGCCUUCCUUAUAUUUUAUUACAAAUUAGUCCUAACAAGAAAAAGCGAGAUCAUAUUCCAAAAAAGCAAAAGUGACAAAAAAACCAGCUGUAUUCUUUUAUUAAACUACAAUUUAAAAUGAUUUUAAAGUGGAUUCUUUUGAAUACAGGUGGGGUAGUCGAAUAGUCUUUUUCAAAUUCUUGUUUUAUUAUUUUUCAAAACUAGUUUUUGGUAAUUACAAUCGGGUCAUUCAUUAGUCAUUAUUCAGAGUUAUUGUUAUCUUCGGGGGCAGUGGGUAAAAGGCUAAAUGAUAAUUACUAAGUGUUUUUCCUUCAAAAGUUAGUGGCUCGUGUUUUGCAAGUGUGUACGUGCGAUGCUCUUUGUCUAAAGGCAAUUACAGUGGGUCCCGAAUCGGACGUGCCUAAUAAAUCUUUUAAAAUUUUUUCUAAUAAAUAUUCCUAAAAUUUCUCUUCCACAGGCAAUUACAGCAGCUUCAGUUAAUCAAACUCAAUCAAUUUUCUUUCUUAACAAAAUUCCAAAGAUGUUUGGCUGUUUUCAGAUCACAUGCGAUGGUGCUCUUUUCAAUCGUUGCUUGGAUUGCUUUCUGGGAAAAACAGUAUACAUACGUAACCUCCCAGAUAAUCUUGUUGCCUUGGAGACUGAAUUGGGAAAUCUAAUCGCAGCAAAGAACGAUGUGACGAGGAGGGUUGACAAUGCUGAACGGCAACAAAUGAGAAGGCUGGACCGAGUGCAACGAUGGAUUUCGAGAGUGGAAGUUGUUGAAACUGAAGCCGAUGAAUUGAUAAGACAUGGCUCUCGAGAAAUUGAAAAAUUAUGUGUUGGAGGCUACUGUUCCAAGAACUGCAUGUCAAGCUACAAGUUCGGAAAACAAGUGGCUAAAAAGCUACGGGAUGUGCGGACUUUAAUCAGUGAAGGAGUUUUUGAGGUGGUGGCUGACAGAGCUCCAGAGCCUGUAGCAGAUGAAAGACCUACUGAGCCAACAAUAGUAGGCUUGCAAUCACAACUUGAACAAGUUUGGAGAUGUCUUGUAGUAGAAGAAUCAGUGGGAAUCAUUGGCCUAUAUGGUAUGGGCGGUGUUGGUAAAACCACACUAUUGACCCAUAUCAACAAUAAAUUUCUUGAGAAUCCAAUCAACUUUGAUUGUGUGAUUUGGGUUGUAGUUUCAAAAGACCUGCGACUUGAAAAAAUUCAAGAAGAUAUUGGGAAAAAGAUAGGUCUGUUUGAUGAUUCAUGGAAGAGUAAAAGUGUAGAGGAGAAAGCUGUCGACAUCUUCCGGAGUUUAAGAGAGAAGAGAUUUGUAUUGUUGUUAGAUGAUAUAUGGGAGCGGGUUGAUUUAACAAAGGUGGGCGUUCCACUUCCCGGACCACAAAAUACUACCUCAAAAGUCGUAUUCACAACCCGUUCCAUCGAUGUUUGUGGCAGCAUGGAAAGUCACAGGAAGUUCCCAGUAGCAUGCUUAUCAGAAGAGGAUGCUUGGGAGCUGUUUCGAGAAAAAGUAGGGCAAGAAACUCUUGAGAGUCAUCAUGAUAUCGUUGAGCUAGCCCAAACUGUGGCCAGAGAGUGUGAUGGUUUGCCACUCGCACUUCUUACUAUUGGUCGAGCUAUGGCCUGCAAAAGGACAGCAGAGGAGUGGAGACACGCAGUUGAAGUGCUAAGAAGAUCAGCUUCUGAGUUUGCAGGUUUGGGAGAAAAGGUGUACUCUCUUUUAAAAUUCAGCUAUGAUAGUUUGCAGAAUGAGACGAUUAAAUCUUGUUUCUUAUAUUGUUGUUUAUAUCCCGAAGAUUAUGGAAUUCUUAAAUGGGACUUGAUUGAUUGUUGGAUUGGUGAGGGAUUCUUAGAGCAAUCUGACAGGCUUAGUGCAGAAUACCAAGGAUACUACAUUGUGGGCACUCUUGUUCAAGCAUGUUUAUUAGAAGAGUUAGAAGAUGAUAAAGUAAAAAUGCAUGACGUUAUUCGUGAUAUGGCUCUAUGGAUAACCAGUGAAAUUGAGAAGGAGAAGAGAAACUUUUUGGUUCGUGCAGGUGCUGGAUUAAAAGAGGCACCGGCUGUUAAAGGAUGGGAAAAUGUGAGAAGAUUGUCACUGAUGCAAAACCAAAUUGAAACUCUGUCAGAGGUUCCUACAUGCCCUCAUCUCCUCACUUUAUUUCUUGACUUUAAUCAGGAGUUGGAGAUGAUCGCGGAUGGUUUCUUCCAAUUUAUGCCUUCUCUCAAAGUUUUGAAGAUAUCAAACUGUGGAAACAUUUUUCAAUUACCUGUUGGGAUGUCAAAGUUGGGUUCACUAGAACUUCUUGAUAUUUCACAUACCUUCAUAAAAGAGUUACCAGAAGAGUUAAAGAAGUUGGUAAAUCUGAAAUGUUUGAAUUUGAGGUGGACAAGGGAGUUAAAUAAAAUUCCACGGCAACUAAUAUCAAAUUCUUCAAGGUUACGUGUGUUGAGAAUGUUCGCUACUGGCUACAUACGAUUCGAUGAUGCACCAGAAGACGGCGUUUUAUUUGGUGGGGGUGAAGUUUUGAUACAGGAAUUGCUCGGUUUGAAAUAUUUAGAGGUAUUGGAGUUGACCUUGGGAAGUUAUCAUGCUCUCCAAAUUCUUUUGAGCUCAAAUAAGUUAAAAAGUUGUAUUCGAUCUCUUUACCUCGAGUUGACCGGAGAUACAACGUCAAUUAUUGAUGCUACGGCUUUCGCAGAUCUAAACCACCUCAAUGAAUUAUAUAUUAAUAAUGGUAUUGAGUUGGAAGAAUUGAAGAUUGAUUAUACGCAGAUAGUACGAAAAAGGCGGGAACCUUUUGUUUUCCGCAGCCUUCACCGUGUUACUGUUAUGGAUUGCCAUAAAUUGAAAGAUGUGACAUUCCUCGUUUUUGCUCCAAACCUCAAGUCUCUUACGCUAUUCGAUUGCGGUGCUAUGGAAGAAAUAAUCAGCGUCGGAAAAUUUGCUGAGACUCCUGAGAUGAUGGGACAUAUAAGCCCUUUUGAAAAUCUCCAAUUGCUUGAUUUAGAUAAUUUGCCACAUUUGAAGAGCAUCUUCUGGAAGCCAUUGCCUUUCACUCAUCUCAAAAAAAUGGUGGUGGUACAGAGGUGCGAUCAGCUUGAAAAGCUUCCACUCGAUUCCAACAGUGCAAAAGAGCGUAAAUUUGUUAUUCGUGGAUACACAGGGUGGUGGAACCGACUUCAAUGGGAGGAUGAAGCCACUCAAAUUGCUUUUCGUUCCUGUUUCCAACCAAUGGGAGUACUGAGCGGUGGUCGCAAAAUUUGAUUUCUGGUGAGUGCGUUUGUCUUUUAAAAGAAGAAUUUAAAAGAAAUUUAUUCUUGUCGUUUGUUUUCUUCUCUGUUUUUAUUUCAGUUUCUCUCUCUCUUUGUCUUCUGCAAAUCACAAUUAAAUGUUGAAUUAAUGGAAUUAAUGCUUCAUAAAUUUGCCGGCACUGCCAUUACUUUUUUUUUUUUUAAAUACAAAUUGAUACUUUAUUUAUAUCUUCUUAGCGAUUUAAUUUCCUGUCAAAAGAGGAACGAGAAGAACAUAUGACUUAAACCAAUGCUCGCAUAAACUUGCUGUAAAAAGAUAUAAUCUCACUGAAAUGCACACGUCUAGAAUGAAUAGAAUUAAAACAGAGAAAAUAUUAAGUAUAUUAGCCCUCUUUACCGAAAAUGAAAUGACAAUAAAUUUUUUGAAGUUUUGAUUUUCUAUGGUCAAUUCCACCUUUUGCAAUUUCUUCUGUUCUAACAAAAACCAAUUUCUUUGUUCAAGUAUUUUCGUUUGGGUAUCAAGGAUCUCUAAUCAAUAGCUGGAAGCAAUUCAGAGGGCGCCGAGACCCGAUCGGACCUAGGCCCAAGUUUGGUCUUAAAGCCUGGGCUUGAGCCUGACAAUUAAAUUAAAACAUUAAUUGAUUUAUUGAUUGAAUUGUCGUGCAAUUGAUUUAUGGAGGAUGAAAAAUCAACAUACUUGAAAAUACACUAAUCUUAGCAUCAUCGGUUAAUAACUUUUAGAUUUAUGGGUAAUCAAUAGUUAAGAUCAGUUGUCAUUUAUUUUUUGAAAUGUCCAUAUUCAGUGUACAUUUGAAAAAGACCCAAUAAUUUCUCAUAAAUUUCAAUUAAAAAUAUUCAAUUUGUUAUUUCAGUUCUUUUAUUUUUUAUUUUUUCCAACAUGAAAGCGACUUAAUGUUACUAAAUUGCUUUUAUGGUCUUUGGAUUUUCAUGACCCAAUAAUUGGAACAUAACAAUUUUCUCAAGCGCUCUCCCGCAACAUUUUAUAAUUGAAGCCGCUGGCCCGCCUGUGGUUCCAAACUUUUAUCUUCCUCCUCCUUUAGAUUAAUGCGAGCAGCCUCCGUCCUUGACUAGUUGACUUCUUUUCUUCUUUUUUAAUUAAUUAAUUAAUUAAUUCAGCCGCCCACCUUUCUUUUCCCAAUGUCUUCUACUUUCGA
rnacentral:lncRNA from 1 species